UUACCCUAGCCCAUAACCUAAUACCCGGGUAUUACCUUCAGGAAGCCCGAACACCCCAAAUAUUUUUUUUUCAUUUUACAUUUUUGUUGGUGUAACCAACUCAGAAAGGUUGGAAAAGAGUUCCUACAAAGGUUUUGGACAGUGAUUUUAACCCUAAUGUCAAAAACCUUAAACCUUACCCUAGCCCCAAAACCUAAUACCCGGGUAUUACAUUCAGGAAGCCUGAACACCCCAAAUAUUUUUUUUUUCAUUUUUCAUUUUUUUUUGUUCUAACUAAAUCCAAAAGGUUGGAAAAGAGUUCCUACAAAGGUUUUGGACAGUGAUUUUAAACCUAACGCCAAAAAACUUAAACCUUACCCUAGCCUUAAAAUCUAAUACCUGGGUAUUACAUUCAGGAAGCCCGUAAAACCCAAAUAUUUUUUUUUUCAUUUUUCAUUUUUUUUUGGUCUAACUAACUCCAAAAGGUUGGAAAAGAGUUCCUACAAAGGUUUCGGACAGUGAUUUUAACCCUAAUGCCAAAAAACUUAAACCUUACCCUGGCCUUAAAAUCUAAUACCGGUAUUAAUUAAGGAAGCCCGGAAACCCCAAAUAUUUUUUUUCAUUUUUCAUUCUUUUUUUGGUCUAACUAACUCCAAAAGGUUGGAAAAGAGUUCCUACAAAGGUUUUGGACAGUGAUUUUAACCCUAACGCCAAAAACCUUAAACCUUACCCUAGCCCCAAAACCUAAUACCCGGGUAUUACCUUCAGGAAGCCCGAACACCCCAAAUAUAUUUUUUUUUCAUUUUACAUUUUUGUUGGUGUAACCAACUCCAAAAGGUUGGAAAAAGUUCCUACAAAGGUUUUGGACAGUGAUUUUAACCCUAACUCCAAAAAACUUAAACCUUACCCUAGCCUUAAAAUCUAAUACCCGGGUAUUACCUUCAGGAAGCCCGAACACACCAAAUAUUUUUUUUUCAUUUUACAUUUUUGUUAGUGUAACCAACUCCAAAAGGUUGGAAAAGAGUUCCUACAAAGGUUUUGGACAGUGAUUUUAACCCUAACGCCAAAAACCUUAGACCUUUCCCUAACCCCAAAACCUAAUACCCGGGUAUUACUUUGAGGAAGCCUGACCACCCGAAAUAUUUUUUUUUAUUUUUCUUUUUUUUUUGGUCUAACUAACUCCAAAAAAUUGGAAAAGAGUUCCUACAAAGGUUUUGGACAGUGAUUUCAACCCUAACACCAAAAAACUUAAACCUUACCCUAGCCUUAAAAUCUAAUACCCGGGUAUUAUAUUUAGGAAGCCGGAAAACCCCAAAUAUUCUUUUUUUCAUUUUACAUUUUUGUUGGUGAAACCAACUCCAAAAGGUUGGAAAAGAGUUCCUACAAAGGUUUUGGACAGUGAUUUUAACCCUAACGCCAAAAAACUUAAACCUUACCCUAGCCUUAAAAUCUAAUACCCGGGUAUUACAUUCAGGAAGCCCGAAAACCCCAAAUAUUUUUUUUUUCAUUUUUCAUUUUUUUUUGGUCUAACUAACUCCAAAAGGUUGGAAAAGAGUUCCUACAAAGGUUUUGGACAGUGAUUUUAACCCUAACGCCAAAAACGUUAAACCUUACCAUAGCCCCACAACCUAAUACCCGGGUAUUACUUCUAGGAAGCCUGAACACCCCAAAUAUUUUUUUUUCAUUUUUCUUAUUUUUUUGGUCUAACUAACUCCAAAAGGUUGGAAAAGAGUUCCUACAAAGGUUUUGGACAGUGAUUUUAACCCUAACGCCAAAAACCUUAAACCUUACCCUAGCCCAAAACCUAAUACCCGGGUAUUACUUUCAGGAAGCCCGAAAACCCCAAAUAUUUUUUUUUCAUUUUUCAUUUUUUUUGGUCUAACUAACUCCAAAAGGUUGGAAAAGAGUUCCUACAAAGGUUUUGGACAGUGAUUUUAACCCUAACGCCAAAAACCUUAAACCUUACCCUAGCCUUAAAAUCUAAUACCCAGGUAUUACCUUCAGGAAGCCCGAAAACCCCAAAUAUUUUUUUCUUCAUUUUACAUUUUUGUUGGUGUAACCAACUCCAAAAGGUUGGAAAAGAGUUCCUACUAAGGUUUUGGACAGUCAUUUUAACCCUAACGCCAAAAACCUUAAACCUUGACCUAGCCCCAAAACCUAAUACCAAUUAUUAUUUUCAAAUAGCCCGAAAACCCCAAAUAUAUAUUUUUUUCAUUUUACAUUUAUUUUUUGUCUAACCGACUCCAAAACUUUGGAAAAGAGUUCCUACAAAGGUUUUGGACAGUGAUUUUAACCCUAACGCCAAAACGUUAAACCUUACCAUAGCCCCAUAACCUAAUACCCGGGUAUUACUUUUAGGAAGCCUGAACACCCCAAAUAUUUUUUUUUCAUUUUACUUUUUUUUUUGGUCUUACUAACUCCAAAAGGUUGGAAAAGAGUUCCUACAAAGGUUUUGGACAGUGAUUUUAACCCUAACGCCAAAAACCUUAAACCUUACCCUAGCCUUAAAAUCUAAUACCCGGGUAUUACAUUCAGGAAGCCCGAAAACCCCAAAUAUUUUUUUUUUUUCAUUUUACAUUUUUGUAUGAGUAACCAACUCCAAAAGGUUGGAAAACAGUUCCUACAAAGGUUUUGGAUAGUGAUUUAAACCCUAACGCCAAAAACCUUAAACCUUACCAUAGCCCCAUAACCUAAUACCCGGGUAUUACCUUCAGGAAGCCCGAACACCCCAAAUAUUUUUUGUUUAUUUUACAUUUUUGUUGGUGUAACCAACUCAAAAAGGUUGGAAAAGAGUUCCUACAAAGGUUUUGGACAGUGAUUUUAACCCUAAUGCCAAAAAACUUAAACCUUACCCUGGCCUUAAAAUCUAAUACCCGGGUAAUUACAUUCAGGAAGCCCGAAAACCCCAAAUAUUUUUUUUUUCAUUUUUCAUUUUUUUUUGGUCUAACUAACUCCAAAAGGUUGGAAAAGAGUUCCUACAAAGGUUUUGGACAGUGAUUUUAACCCUAACGCCAAAAACCUUAAACCUUACCAUAGCCCCAUAACCUAAUUAUUUCCUUCAGGAAGCCCGAACACCCCAAAUUUCUUUUUUUCAUUUUUCAUUUUUUUUUGUUCUAACUAACUCCAAAAGGUUGGAAAAGAGUUCCUACAAAGGUUUUGGACAGUGAUUUUAACCCUAACGCCAAAAACCUUAAACCUUACCAUAGCCCCAUAACCUAAUACCCGGGUAUUACCUUCAGGAAGCCCGAACACCCCAAAUAUUUUUUUUUUUCAUUUUUCAUUUUUUUUGGUCUAACUAACUCCAAAAGGUUGGAAAAGAGUUCCUACAAAGGUUUUGGACAGUGAUUUUAACCCUAACGCCAAAAACCUUAAACCUUACCCUAGCCUUAAAAUCUAAUACCCGGGUAUUACUUUUAGGAAGCCUGAAAACCCCAAAUAUUUUUUUUUUCAUUUUUCAUUUUUUUUGGUCUAACUAAAUCCAAAAGGUUGGAAAAGAGUUCCUACAAAGGUUUUGGACAGUGAUUUUAACCCUAACGCCAAAAACAUUAAACCUUACCCAAGCCCCAAAACCAAAUACGCGGGUAUUACCUUCACGAAGCCCGAAAACCCCAAAUAAUUUUUUUGCAUUUUUCAUUAUUUUUUGGUCUAACUAACUCCAAAAUGUUGGUAAAGAGUUCCUACAAAGGUUUUGGACAGUGAUUUUAACCCUAACACCAAAAACCUUAAACCUUCCCCUAGCACCAAAACCCGGGUAUUACCUUCAGGAAGCCCGAAACCCCAAAUAUUUUUUUUUCAUUUUUCAUUUUUUUUGGUCUAACUAACUCCAAAAGGUUGGAAAAGAGUUCCUACAAAGGUUUUGGACAGUGAUUUUGACCCUAACGCCAAAAACGUUAAACCUAACCUUAGCCCCAAAACCUAAUACGGGUAUUACCUUCAGGAAGCCCGAAAACCCCAAAUAUUUUUUUUUCUUUUUUCUUUUUUUUUUUGGUCUAACCAUCUCCAAAAGGUUGGAAAAGAGUUCCUACAAAGGUUUUGGACAGUGAUUUUAACCCUAACGCCAAAAACCUUAAACCUUCCCCUAGCCCCAAAACCUAAUACCUUCAGGAAGCCCGAAAACCCCAAAUAUUUUUUUUUCAUUUUUCAUUUUUUUUUUGGUCUAACUAACUCCAAAAGGUUUGAAAAGAGUUCCUACAAAGGUUUUGGACAGUGAUUUUAACCCCAACACAGAAAACCUUAAACCUACCCAAGCCCCAUAACCUAAUACCCGGGUAAUACCUUCAGGAAGCCCGAAAACCCCAAAUAUUUUUUUUCUUUGUUCUUAUUUUUUUGGUCUAACUAACUCCAAAAGGUUGGAAAAGAGUUCCUAAAAAGUUUUUGGACAGUGAUUUAGACCCUAACGCAAAAAACCUUAAACCUUACACUAGCCCCAAAACCGAAUACCCGGGUAUUACCUUCAGGAAGCCCGAACACCCCAAAAAAUUUUUUUUCAUUUUACAUUUUGUUUUGGUGUAACCAACCUCAAAAGGUCUGAAACAUGUUCCUAAAAAGGUUUUGGACAGUGAUUUCAUCCCUAACGCCAAAAACAUUAAAUCUUACCAUAGCCCCAUAACCUAAUACGGGUAAUACCUUCAGGAAGCCCGAAUACCCCCCCAAAAAAUUUUUCAUUUUUCAUUUUUUUUUUUUUGGUGUAACUAACUCCAAAAUGUUGGAAAAGAGUUCCUAAAAAGGUUUUGGACAGUGAUUUUGACCCUAACGCCAAAAUUUUAAACCUUACCCUAGCCCCAAAACCUAGUACCCGGGUAUUACCUUCAGGAAGCCCGAACACCCCAAAUAUUUUUUUUUUCAUUUUUCGUAAUUUUUUGGUCUUACUAACUCCAAAAGGUCUGAAAAGAGUUCCUACAAAGGUUUUGGACAGUGAUUUUAACCCUAACGCCAAAAACCUUAAACCUUACCCUAGCCCCAAAACCUAAUACCCGGGUAUUACCUUCAGGAAGCCCGAAAACCCCAAAUAUUUUUUUUUCAUUUUUCAUUUUUUUUGGUCUAACUAACUCCAAAAGGUUGGAAAAGAGUUCCUACAAAGGUUUUGGACAGUGAUUUUAACCCUAACGCCAAAAACCUUAAACCUUACCCUAGCCCCAAAACCUAAUACCCGGGUAUUACCUUCAGGAAGCCCGAACACUCCAAAUAUUUUUUUUUUCAUUUUUCAUUUUUUUUGGUCUAACUAACUCCAAAAGGUUGGAAAAGAGUUCCUACAAAGGUUUUGGACAGUGAUUUUAACCCUAACGCCAAAAACCUUAAACCUUACCCUAGCCCCAAAACCUAAUACCCGGGUAUUACCUUCAGGAAGCCCGAAAACCCCAAAUAUUUUUUUUUAAUUUUUCAUUUUUUUUUGGUCUAACUAACUCCAAAAGGUUGGAAAAGAGUUCCUACAAAGGUUUUGGACAGUGAUUUUGACCCUAACGCCAAAAACCUUAAACCUUACCCUAGCCCCAAAACCUAAUACGCGGGUAUUACCUUCAGGAAGCCCGAACACCCCAAAUAUUUUUUUUCAUUUUACAUUUUGUUUUGGUGUAACCAACCUCAAAAGAUUUGAAACAUGUUCCUAAAAAGGUUUUGGACAGUGAUUUUAGCCCUAACGCCAAAAAACUUAAACCUUACCCAUAGCCCCAUAACCUAAUACCCGGGUAUUACCUUCAGGAAGCCCGAACACCCCAAAUAUUUUUUUUUCAUUUUUCAUUUUUUUUGGUCUAACUAACUCCAAAAGGUUGGAAAAGAGUUCCUACAAAGGUUUUGGACAGUGAUUUUGACCCUAACGCCAAAAACCUUAAACCUUACCCUAGCCCCAAAACCUAAUACCCGGGUAUUACCUUCAGGAAGCCCAUAUACCCCAAAUAUUUUUUUUCAUUUUACUUUUUGUUUUGGUGUAACCAACCUCAAAAGGUCUGAAACAUGUUCCUAAAAAGGUUUUGGACAAUGAUUUUGACCCUAACGCCAAAAACCUUAAACCUUACCCUAGCCCCAUAACCUAAUACCCGGGUAUUACCUUCAGGAAGCCGGAACACCCCAAAUAUUUUUUUUUUUCAUUUUUCGUUUUUUUUUGGUCUAACUAACUCCAAAAGGUUGGAAAAGAGUUCCUACAAAGGUUUUGGACAGUGAUUUUAACCCUAACGCCAAAAACCUUAAACCUUACCCUAGCCCCAAAACCUAAUACCUUCAGGAAGCCCGAAAACCCCAAAUAUUUUUUUUUUCAUUUUUCCUUUUUUUUUUGGUCUAACUAACUCCAAAAGGUUGGAAAAGAGUUCCUACAAAGGUUUUGGACAGUGAUUUUAACCCUAACGCCAAAAACCUUAAACCUUCCCCUAGCCCCAAAACCUAAUACCUUCAGGAAGCCCGAAAACCCCAAAUAUCUUUUUUUCUUUUUUCUUUUUUUUUUUGGUCUAACCAUCUCCAAAAGGUUUGAAAAGAGUUCCUACAAAGGUUUUGGACAGUGAUUUUAACCCCAACACAGAAAACCUUAAACCUACCCAAGCCCCAUAACCUAAUACCCGGGUAAUACCUUCAGGAAGCCCGAAAACCCCAAAUAUUUUUUUUCUUUGUUCUUAUUUUUUUGGUCUAACUAACUCCAAAAGGUUGGAAAAGAGUUCCUAAAAAGUUUUUGGACAGUGAUUUAGACCCUAACGCAAAAAACCUUAAACCUUACACUAGCCCCAAAACCGAAUACCCGGGUAUUACCUUCAGGAAGCCCGAACACCCCAAAUAUUUUUUUUUCAUUUUACAUUUUUUUUUUGGUCUAACUAACUCCAAAAGGUUGGAAAAGAGUUCCUACAAAGGUUUUGGACAGUGAUUUUAACCCUAACGCCAAAAACCUUAAACCUUACCAUAGCCCCAAAACCUAAUACGGGUAAUACCUUCAGGAAGCGCGAAUACCCCCAAAAAAUUUUUUUCAUUUUUCAUUUCUUUUUUUUUGGUGUAACUAACUCCAAAAUGUUGGAAAAGAGUUCCUAAAAAGGUUUUGGACAGUGAUUUUGACCCUAACGCCAAAAUUUUAAACCUUACCCUAGCCCCAAAACCUAGUACCCGGGUAUUACCUUCAGGAAGCCCGAACACCCCAAAUAUUUUUUUUUUCAUUUUUUCGUUAUUUUUUGGUCUAACUAACUCCAAAAGGUUGGAAAAGAGUUCCUACAAAGGUUUUGGACAGUGAUUUUAACCCUAACGCCAAAAACCUUAAACCUUACCCUAGCCCCAUAACCUAAUACCCGGGUAUUACCUUCAGGAAGCCCGAAAACCCCAAAUAUUUUUUUUUCAUUUUUCAUUUUUUUUGGUCUAACUCCAAAAGGUUGGAAAAGAGUUCCUACAAAGGUUUUGGACAGUGAUUUUAACCCUAACGCCAAAAACCUUAAACCUUACCCUAGCCCCAAAACCUAAUACCCGGGUAUUACCUUCAGGAAGCCGAACACCCCAAAUAUUUUUUUUUCAUUUUUCAUUUUUUUUUUGGUCUAACUAACUCCAAAAGGUUGGAAAAGAGUUCCUACAAAGGUUUUGGACAGUGAUUUUAACCCUAACGCCAAAAACCUUAAACCUUACCCUAGCCCCAAAACCUAAUACCUUCAGGAAGCCCGAACACCCCAAAUAUUUUUUUUUUCAUUUUUCAUUUUUUUUUUUUUGGUGUAACUAACUCCAAAAGGUUGGAAAAGAGUUCCUACAAAGGUUUUGGACAGUGAUUUUAACCCUAACGCCAAAAACCUUAAACCUUACCCUAGCCCCAAAACCUAAUACCUUCAGGAAGCCCGAAAACCCCAAAUAUUUUUUUUUCUUUUUUCUUUUUUUUUUGGUCUAACUAACUCCAAAAGGUUGGAAAAGAGUUCCUACAAAGGUUUUGGACAGUGAUUUUGACCCUAACGCCAAAAACGUUAAACCUUACCCAAGCCCCAUAACCUAUUACCCGGGUAUUACCUUCAGGAAGCCCGAAAACCCCAAAUAUUUUUUUUCUUUGUUCUUUUUUUUUUUGGUCUAACUAACUCCAAAAGGUUGGAAAAGAGUUCCUACAAAGGUUUUGGACAGUGAUUUUGACCCUAACGCCAAAAACCUUAAACCUUACCCUAGCCCCAAAACCUAAUACCCGGGUAUUACCUUCAGGAAGCCCGAACACCCCAAAUAUUUUUUUUUUCAUUUUACAUUUUGUUUUGGUGUAACCAACUCCAAAAGGUUGGAAAAGAGUUCCUAAAAAGGUUUUGGACAGUGAUUUUAUCCCUAACGCCAAAAACAUUAAAUCUUACCAUAGCCCCAUAACUUAAUACGGGUAAUACCUUCAGGAAGCCCGAAUACCCCCCCAAAAAAUUUUUCAUUUUUCAUUUUUUUUUUUUUGGUGUAACUAACUCCAAAAUGUUGGAAAAGAGUUCCUAAAAAGGUUUUGGACAGUGAUUUUAACCCUAACGCCAAAAACCUUAAACCUUACCCUAGCCCCAAAACCUAAUACCCGGGUAUUACCUUCAGGAAGCCCGAACACCCCAAAUAUUUUUUUUUCAUUUUUCAUUUUUUGGUCUAACUAACUCCAAAAGGUUGGAAAAGAGUUCCUACAAAGGUUUUGGACAGUGAUUUUGACCCUAACGCCAAAAACCUUAAACCUUUCCCUAGCCCCAAAACCUAAUACCCGGGUAAUACCUUCAGGAAGCCCGAAAACCCCAAAUAUUUUUUUUUCAUUUUUCAUUUUUUAUUAGUCUUACUAACUCCAAAAGGUUGGAAAAGAGUUCCUACAAAGGUUUUGGACAGUGAUUUUGACCAUAACGCCAAAAACGUUAAACCUUACCCUAGCCCCAAAACCUAAUACCAGGGUAUUACCUUCAGGAAGCCCGAACACCCCAAAUAUUUUUUUUUCAUUUUUUUUUUUUUUGGUCUAACUAACUCCAAAAGGUUGGAAAAGAGUUCCUACAAAGGUUUUGGACAGUGAUUUUAACCCUAACGCCAAAAACCUUAAACCUUACCCUAGCCCCAUAACCUAAUACCGGGUAUUACCUUCAGGAAGCCCGAAAACCCCAAAUAUUUUUUUUUUUAAUUUUUCAUUUUUUUUUGGUCUAACUAACUCCAAAAGGUUGGAAAAGAGUUCCUACAAAGGUUUUGGACAGUGAUUUUAACCCUAACGCCAAAAACCUUAAACCUUCCCCUAGCCCCAAAACCUAAUACCCGGGUAUUACCUUCAGGAAGCCCGAACACCCCAAAUAUUUUUUUUUCAUUUUUCAUUUUUUUUGGUGUAACUAACUCCAAAAGGUUGGAAAAGAGUUCCUACAAAGGUUUUGGACAGUGAUUUUAACCCUAACGCCAAAAAACUUAAACCUUACCCAUAGCCCCAUAACCUAAUACCCGGGUAUUACCUUCAGGAAGCCCGAACAUCCCAAAUAUAUAUUUUUCAUUUUUCGUUUUUUUUUGGUCUAACUAACUCCAAAAGGUUGGAAAAGAGUUCCUACAAAGGUUUUGGACAGUGAUUUUAACCCUAACGCCAAAAACCUUAAACCUUACCCUAGCCCCAAAACCUAAUACCCGGGUAUUACCUUCAGGAAGCCCAUAAACCCCAAAUAUUUUUUUUUCAUUUUACUUUUUUUUUGGUGUAACCUAACUCCAAAAGGUUGGAAAAGAGUUCCUACAAAGGUUUUGGACAAUGAUUUUGACCCUAACGCCAAAAACCUUAAACCUUACCCUAGCCCCAUAACCUAAUACCCGGGUAUUACCUUCAGGAAGCCGGAACACCCCAAAUAUUUUUUUUUUUCAUUUUUCGUUUUUUUUUGGUCUAACUAACUACAAAAUAUUGGAAAAGAGUUCCUACAAAGGUUUUGGACAGUGAUUUUGAGCCUAACGCCAAAAACCUUAAACCUUACCCUAGCCCCAAAACCUAAUACCUUCAGGAAGCCCGAAAACCCCAAAUAUUUUUUUUUCAUUUUUCAUUUUUUUUUUUUGGUCUAACUAACUCCUAAAGGUUGGAAAAGAGUUCCUACAAAGGUUUUGGACAGUGAUUUUAACCCUAACGCCAAAAACUUAAACCUUACCCUAGCCCCAAAACCUAAUACCCGGGUAUUACCUUCAGGAAGCCCGAAAACCCCAAAUAUUUUUUUUUCAUUUUCAUUUUUUUUUUUGGUCUAACUAACUCCAAAAGGUUGGAAAAGAGUUCCUACAAAGGUUUUGGACAGUGAUUUUAACCCUAACGCCAAAAACCUUAAACCUUACCCUAGCCCCAUAACCUAAUACCCGGGUAUUACCUUCAGGAAGCCUGAAAACCCCAAAUAUUUUUUUUCUUUUUUCUUUUUUUUUUUUGGUCUAACUAACUCCAAAAGGUUGGAAAAGAGUUCCUACAAAGGUUUUGGACAGUGAUUUUAACCCUAACGCCAAAAACCUUAAACCUUACCCUAGCCCCAAAACCUAAUACCCGGGUAUUACCUUCAGGAAGCCCGAACACCCCAAAUAUUUUUUUUCAUUUUACAUUUUGUUUUGGUGUAACCAACCUCAAAAGGUCUGAAACAUGUUCCUAAAAAGGUUUUGGACAGUGAUUUUAGCCCUCACGCCAAAAACCUUAAAUCUUAUCAUAGCCCCAUAACCUAAUACCCGGGUAUUACCUUCAGGAAGCCCUAACACCCCAAAUAUUUUUUUUUUUCAUUUUUUUUUUUUUUUGGUGUAACUAACUCCAAAAGGUUGGAAAAGAGUUCCUACAAAGGUUUUGGACAGUGAUUUUAACCCCAACGCAGAAAACCUUAAACCUUACCCAAGCCCCAUAACCUAUUACCCGGGUAUUACCUUCAGGAAGCCCGAAAACCCCAAAUAUUUUUUUUCUUUGUUCUUUUUUUUUUUGGUCUAACUAACUCCAAAAGGUUGGAAAAGAGUUCCUACAAAGGUUUUGGACAGUGAUUUUAACCCCAACGCCAAAAACGUUAAACCUUCCCCUAGCCCCAAAACCUAAUACCUUCAGGAAGCCCGAAAACCCCAAAUAUUUUUUUCUUUUUUCUUUUUUUUUGGUAUAACUAACUCCAAAAGGUUGGAAAAGUGUUCCUACAAAGGUUUUGAACAGUGAUUUUAACCCUAACGCCAAAAACCUAAGACCUUUCCAAAGUCCCAUAACCUAAGACCUGGGAAUUACCUUCAGGAAGCCCGAACACCCCAAAUAUUUUUGUUUCAUUGUUCAUUUUUUUUGGUCUAACUAACUCCAAAAGGUUGGAAAAGAGUUCCUACAGAGGAUUUGGAUAGUGAUUUUGACCCUAACGCCAAAAACCUUAAACCUUACCCUAGCACCAAAACCAAAUACCCGGGUAUUACCUUCAGGAAGCCCCAAAACCCCAAAUAUUUAUUUUUCAAUUUUCCUUUAUUUUUUGGUCAAACUAACUCCAAAAGGUUGGAAAAGAGUUCCUAAAAAGUUUUUGGAUAGUGAUUUUAACCCUAACGCCAAAAACCUUAAACCUUACCCUAGCCCCAAAACCUAAUACCCGGGUAUUACCGUCAGGAAGCCCGAAACCCCAAAUAUUUUUUUUUCAUUUUUCAUUAUUAUUUGGUCUAACUAACUCCAAAAUGUUGGGAAAGAUUUCCUACAAAGGUUUUGGACAGUGAUUUUGACCCUAACGCCAAAAACGUUAAACCUUACCCUAGCCCCAAAAUCUUAUACCCGGGUAUUACCUUCAGGAAGCCCGAACCCUCCAAAUAUAUUUUUUUUUCAUUUUUCGUUAUUUUUUGGUCUAACUAAUUCCAAAAGGUUGGAAAAGAGUUCCAAAAAAGGUUUUGGACAGUGAAUUUAACCCUAACGCCAAAAACCUUAAACCUUACCCUAGCCCCAAAACCUAAUACGCGGUAUUACCUUCAGGAAGCCCGAAAACCCAAAAUAUUUUUUUUUCUUUUUUCUUUUUUUUUUGGUCUAACCAUCUCCAAAAGGUUGGAAAAGAUUUCCUACAAAGGUUUUGGACAGUGAUUUUAACCCUAACGCCAAAAACCUUAAACCUUACCCUAGCCCCAAAACCUAAUACGCGGGUAUUACCUUCAGGAAGCCCGAAAACCCAAAAUAUUUUUUUUUCAUUUUUCAUUAUUAUUUGGUGUAACUAACUCCAAAAGGUUGGAAACGAGUUCCUACAAAGGUUUUGGACAGUGAUUUUAACCCUAACGCCAAAAACCUUGAACCUUCCCCUAGCCCCAUAACCGAAUACCCGUGUAAUACCUUCAGGAAGCCCGAAAACCCCAAAUAUUUUUUUUCUUUUUUCUUUUUUUUUUUUUGUCUAACUAAAUCCAAAAGGUUGGAAAAGAGUUCCUACAAAGGUUUUGGACAGUGAUUUUAACCCUAACGCCAAAAACCUUAAACCUUCCCCUAGCCCCAAAACCUAAUACCUUCAGGAAGCCCAAAAACCCAAAUAUUUUUUUUCUUUUUUCUUUUUUUUUUGGUCUAACUAACUCCAAAAGGUUGGAAAAGAGUUCCUACAAAGGUUUUGGACAGUGAUUUUAACCCCAACGCAGAAAACCUUAAACCUACCCAAGCCCCAUAACCUAUUACCCGGAUAUUACCUUCAGGAAGCCUGAAAACACAAAAUAUUUUUUUUUCAUUUUUCAUUUUUUUUUUUGGUGUAACUAACUCCAAAAGUUUGGAAAAGAGUUCCUAAAAAGGUUUUGGACAGUGAUUUUGACCCUAACGCCAAAAACGUUAAACCUUACCCUAGCCCCAAAACCUAAUACCUUCAGGAAGCCCGAAAACCCCAAAUAUUUUUUUUUCAUUUUUCUUUUUUUUUUUUGGUCUAACUAACUCCAAAAGGUUGGAAAAGAGUUCCUACAAAGGUUUUGGACAGUGAUUUUAACCCCAACGCCAAAAACCUUAAACCUACCCUACCCCCAUAACCUAAUACCCGGGUAUUACCUUCAGGAAGCCCGAAAACCCCAAAUAUUUUUUUUCUUUUUUCUUUUUUUUUUGGUCUAACUAACUCCAAAAGGUUGGAAAAGAGUUCCUACAAAGGUUUUGGACAGUGAUUUUAACCCUAACGCCAAAAAUCUUAAACCUUACCAUAGCCCCAAAACCAAAUACCCGGGUAUUACCUUCAGGAAGUCCGAACACCCCCAAAUUUUUUUUUCAUUUUACAUUUUGUUUUGGUGUAACCAACCUCAAAAGGUCUGAAACAUGUUCCUAAAAAGGUUUUGGACAGUGAUUUUAGCCCUCACGCCAAAAAACUUAAAUCUUAUCAUAGCCCCAUAACCUAAUACCCGGGUAUUACCUUCAGGAAGCCCGAACAUCCCAAAUAUAUAUAUUUUUUUCUUUUUUUUUUUUUUUUUGGUCUAACUAACUCCAAAAUGUUGGAAAAGAGUUCCUACAAAGGUUUUGGACAGUGAUUUUGACCCUAACGCCAAAAACCUUAAACCUUACCCUAGCCCCAAUACCUAAUACCCGGGUAUUACCUCCAGGAAGCCCGAAAACCCCAAAUAUUUUUUUUCAUUUUACAUUUUGUUUUGGUGUAACCAACCUCAAAAGGUCUGAAACAUGUUCAUAAAAGGUUUUGGACAGUGAUUUUAGCCCUCAAGCCAAAAACCUUAAAUCUUACCAUAGCCCCAUAACCUAAUACAGGUAUUACCUUCAGGAAGCCCGAAUACCCCAAAUAUUUUUUUUUCAUUUUUCAUUUUUUUUUUUUUUGGUGUAACUAACUCACAAAUGUUGGAAAAGAGUUCCUACAAAGGUUUUGGACAGUGAUUUUGACCUUAACGCCAAAAACCUUAAACCUUACCCUAGCCCCAUAACCUAAUACCCGGGUAUUACCUUCAGAAAGCCCGAACUCCCCAAGUAUUUUUUUUUUUCAUUUUCAUAUUUUUUUUGGUCUAACUAACUCACAAAUGUUGGAAAAGAGUUCCUACAAAGGUUUUGGACAGUGAUUUUGACCCUAACGCCAAAAACCUUAAACCUUACCCUAGCCCCAAAACCUAUUACCUUCAGGAAGCCCGGAAACCCCAAAUAUUUUUUUUUCAUUUUUCUUUUGUUUUUUUGGUGUAACUAACUCCAAAAGGUUGGAAAAGAGUUCCUACAAAGGUUUUGGACAGUGAUUUUAACCCCAACGCAGAAAACCUUAAACCUACCAAAGCCCCAUUACCUAUUACCCGGGUAUUACCUUCAGGAAGCCCGAAAACCCCAAAUAUUUUUUUUCUUUGUUCUUUUUUUUUUUGGUCUAACUAACUCCAAAAGGUUGGAAAAGAGUUCCUACAAAGGUUUUGGACAGUGAUUUUAACCCCAACGCCAAAAACCUUAAACCUUCCCCUAGCCCCAAAACCUAAUACCUUCAGGAAGCCCGAAAACCCCAAAUAUUUUUUUCUUUUUUCUUUUUUUUUCGGUGUUACUAACUCCAAAAGGUUGGAAAAGAGUUCCUACAAAGGUUUUGGACAGUGAUUUUAACCCUAACGCCAAAAACCUUAAACCUUACCCUAGCCCCAAAACCUAAUACCCGGGAAUUACCUUCAGGAAGCCCGAAAACCCCAAAUAUACUUUUUUCAUUUUAAAUUGUUUUUUGGUGUAACCAACUCCAAAAGGUCUGAAACAUGUUCCUCAAAAGGUUUUGGACAGUGAUUUUAACCCUAACGCCAAAAACCUUAAACCUUACCCUAGCCCCAUAACCAAAUACCCGGUUAUUACCUUCAGGAAGCCCGAACACAACAUAUAUAUAUUGUUUUUUUUUCUUCUUUUUUUUUUGGGUCUAACUAACACCAAAAGGUUCGAAAAGAGUUCCUACAAAGGUUUUGGACAGUGAUUUUAACCCUGACGCCAAAAACCUUAAACCUUACCCAAGCCCCAAAACCUUAUACCCGGGUAUUACCUUCAGGAAGCCCUAAUACCCCGAGUAUUUUUUUUUCAUUUUUCAUUUUUUUUUUGGUCUAACUAACUCCAAAAUGUUGGAAAAGAGUUCCUACAAAGGUUUUGGACAGUGAUUUUAACCCUAACGCCAAAUACCUUAAACCUUACCCUAGCCCCAAAAUCUAAUACCUUCAGGAAGCCCGAAAAACCCAAAUAUUUUUUUUUCAUUUUUCUUUAUUUUUUGGUCUAACUAACUCCAAAAGGUUGGAAAAGAGUUCCUACAAAGGUUUUGGACAGUGAUUUUACCCCAACGCCAAAAACCUUAAACCUAACCUAGCCCCAAAACCUAAUACCCGGGUAAUACCUUCAGGAAGCCGGAAAACCCCAAAUAUUUUUCUUCUUUUUUCUUUUUUUUUUUUUGGUCUAACUAACUCCAAAAGGUUAGAAAAGAGUUCCUACAAAGGUUUUGGACAGUGAUUUUAACCCCAACGCCAAAAACCUUAAACCUUCCCCUAGCCCCAAAACCUAAUACCUUCAGGAAGCCCGAAAACCCCAAAUAUUUUUUUUUCAUUUUUCAUUAUUAUUUUUUGGUGUAACUAAAUCCAAAAGGUUGGAAAAGAGUUCCUACAAAGGUUUUGGACAGUGAUUUUAGCCCUCACGCCAAAAACCUUAAAUCUUACCAUAGCCCCAUAACCUAAUAUGGGUAUUACCUUCAGGAAGCCCAAAUACCCCAAAUAUUUCUUUUUCAUUUUUCAUUUUUUUUUUUUUGGUGUAACUAACUCCAAAAGGUUGGAAAAGAGUUCCUACAAAGGUUUUGGACAGUGAUUUUGACCCUAACGCCAAAAACGUUAAACCUUACCCUAUUCCCAAAACCUAAUACCGGGUAUUACCUUCAGGAAGCCCGAAAACCCCAAAUUUUUUUUUUUCAUUUUUUCAUUUUUUUUGGUCUAACUAACUCCAAAAGGUUGGAAAAGAGUUCCUACAAAGGUUUUGGACAGUGAUUUUAACCCUAACGCCAAAAACCUUAAACCUUCCCCUAGCCCCAAAACCUAAUACCCGGGUAUUACCUUCAGGAAGCCCGAAAACCCCAAAUAUUUUUUUUUCAUUUUUCAUUUUUUUUUGGUCUAACUAACUCCAAAAGGUUGGAAAAGAGUUCCUACAAAGGUUUUGGACAGUGAUUUUAACCCUAACGCCAAAAACCUUAAACCUUACCCUAGCCCCAUAAACUAAUACCGGGUAUUACAGGAAUCCCGAAAACCCCAAAUAUUUUUUUUUCAUUUUUCAUUAUUAUUUGGUGUAACUAACUCCAAAAGGUUGGAAAAGAGUUCCUACAAAGGUUUUGGACAGUGAUUUUAACCCUUACGCCAAAAACCUUAAACCUUCCCGUAGCCCCAAAGCCUAAUACCUUCAAGAAGCCCGAAAACCCCAAAUAUAUUUUUUUCAUUUUUUUUUUGUUUUUUUUGGUGUAACUAUCUCCAAAAGGUUGGAAAAGAGUUCCUACAAAGGUUUUGGACAGUGAUUUUAAGCCCAACGCCAAAAACCUUAAACCUACCGUAGCCCCAAAACCUAAUACGCGGGUAUUACCUUCAGGAAGCCCGAAAACCCCAAAUAUUUUUUCUGCAUUUUUCAUUAUCAUUUAGUCUAACUACCUCCAAAAUGUUGGAAAAGAGUUCCUACAAAAGUUUUGGACAGUGAUUUUAACCCUAACGCCAAAAACCUUAAACCUUCCCCUAGCCCCAAAACCUAAUACGUGGGUAUUACCUUCAGGAAUCCCAAAAACCCAAAAUAUUUUUUUUCUUUUUUCUUUUUUUUUUUUGGUUUAACUAACUCCAAAAGGUUGGAAAAGAGUUCCUACAAAGGUUUUGGACAGUGAUUUUGACCCUAACGCCAAAAACCUUAAACCUUACCAUAGCCCGAAAACCAAAUACCCGGGUAUUACCUUCAGGAAGCCCGAAUACCCCAAAUAUUUUUUUUUUCAUUUUUCAUUAUUAUUUGGUCUAACUAACUCCAAAAGGUUGGAAAAGAGUUCCUACAAAGGUUUUGGACAGUGAUUUUAACCCUAACGCCAAAAACCUUAAACCUUUCCCUAGCCCCAAAACCUAAUACCCGGGUAUUACCUUCAGGAAGCCCGAACACCCCAAAUAUUUUUUUUUUCAUUUUUCGUUAUUUUUUGGUCUUACUAACUCCAAAAGGUCUGAAACAUGUUCCUAAAAAGGUUUUGGACAGUGAUUUUAACCCUAACGCCAAAAACCUUAAACCUUUCCCUAGCCCCAAAACCUAAUACCCGGGUAUUACCUUCAGGAAGCCCGAAAACCCCAAAUAUUUUUUUUUCUUUUCUUUUUUAUUUUUUGGUCUAACUUACUCCAAAAGGUCUGAAAAGAGUUCCUUAAAAGGUUUUGGACAGUGAUUUUAACCCUAACGCCAAAAACCUUAAACCUUACCCUAGCCCCAUAACCUAAUAACCUGGUAUUACCUUCAGGAAGCCCGAAAACCCCAAAUAUUUUUUUUUCUUUUCUUUUUUUUUUUGGUCUAACUUACUCCAAAAGGUUGGAAAAGAGUUCCUACAAAGGUUUUGGACAGUGAUUUUAACCCCAACGCCAAAAACAUUAAACCUUACCCUAGCCCCAAAACCAAAUACGCGGGUAUUACCUUCACGAAGCCCGAAAACCCCAAAUAUUUUUUUUGCAUUUUUCAUUAUUAUUUGGUCUAACUAACUCCAAAAUAUUGGGAAAGAGUUCCUACAAAGGUUUUGGACAGUGAUUUUAACCCUAACACCAAAAACCUUAAACCUUCCCCUAGCCCCAAAACCUAAUACCUUCAGGAAGCCCGAAAACCCCAAAUAUUUUUUCUUCAUUUUUCAUUUUUUAUUGGUCUAACUAACUCCAAAAGGUUGGAAAAGAGUUCCUACAAAGGUUUUGGACAGUGAUUUUAACCCUAACGCCAAAAACGUUAAACCUUACCCUAGCCCCAAAACCAAAUACCCGGGUAUUACCUUCAGGAAGCCCGAAAACCCCAAAUAUUUUUUUUCUUUUUUUUUUUUUUUUUGGUCUAACUAACUCCAAAAGGUUGGAAAAGAGUUCCUACAAAGGUUUUGGACAGUGAUUUUAACCCUAACGCCAAAAACCUUAAACCUUCCCCUAGCCCCAAAACCUAAUACGCGGGUAUUACCUUCAGGAAUCCCGAAAACCCCAAUUUUUUUUUUUUCAUUUUUCAUUAUUAUUUGGUCUAAUUAACUCCAAAAUGUUGGAAAAGAGUUCCUACAAAGGUUUUGGACAGUGAUUUUAACCCUAACGCCAAAAACCUUAAACCUUCCCCUAGCCCCAAAACCUAAUACCCGGGUAAUACCUUCAGGAAGCCCGAAAACCCCAAAUAUUUUUUUUUCAUUUUUCAUUGUUUUUUUUCGGUGAAACUUACUCCAAAAGGUUGGAAAAGAGUUCCUACAAAGGUUUUGGACAGUGAUUUUAACCCCAACGCCAAAAACCUUAAACCUUCCCGUAGCCCCAAAACCUAAUACCUUCAAGAAUCCCGAAAACCCCAAAUAUUUUUUUUUCAUUUUUCAUUAUUAUUUGGACUAACUAACUCCAAAAUGUUGGAAAAGAGUUCCUACAAAGGUUUUGGACAGUGAUUUUAACCCUUACGCCAAAAACCUUAAACCUUCCCGUAGCCCCAAAACCUAAUACCUUCAGGAAGCCCGAAAACCCCAAAUAUUUUUUUUUCAUUUUUUUUUUUUUUUUUUGGUCUAACUAACUCCAAAAGGUUGGAAAAGAGUUCCUACAAAGGUUUUGGACAGUGAUUUUAACCCUAACGCCAAAAACCUUAAACCUUACCCUAGCCCCAAAACCUAAUACGCUGGUAUUACCUUCAGGAAGCCCGAAAACCCCAAAUAUUUUUUUUUUCUUUUUUCUUUUUUUUUGGUCAAACCAUCUCCAAAAGGUUGGAAAAGAGUUCCUACAAAGGUUUUGGACAGUGAUUUUAUCCCUAACGCCAAAAACCUUAAACCUUUCCCUACCCCCAAAACCUAAUACCCGGGUAUUACCUUCAGGAAGCCCGAACACCCCAAAUAUUUAUUUUUUUCAUUUUUCGUUAUUUUUUGGUCUUACUAACUCCAAAAGGUCUGAAACAUGUUCCUAAAAAGGUUUUGGACAGUGAUUUUAACCCUAACGCCAAAAACCUUAAACCUUUCCCUAGCCCCAAAACCUAAUACCCGGGUAUUACCUUCAGGAAGCCCGAAUACCCCAAAUAUUUUUUUUUCAUUUUUCAUUAUUAUUUGGUCUAACUAACUCCAAAAGGUUGGAAAAGAGUUCCUACAAAGGUUUUGGACAGUGAUUUUAACCCUAACGCCAAAAACCUUAAACCUUCCCCUAGCCCCAAGACCUAAUACGCGGGUAUUACCUUCAGGAAGCCCGAAAACCCCAAAUAUUUUUUUUUCAUUUUUCAUUUUUUUUGGUCUAAUUAACUCCAAAAGGUUGGAAAAGAGUUCCUACAAAGGUUUUGGACAGUGAUUUUAACCCUAACGCCAAAAACCUUAAACCUUCCCCUAGCCCCAAAACCUAAUACCCGGGUAUUACCUUCAGGAAGCCCGAAAACCCCAAAUAUUUUUUUUUCAUUUUUCGUUAUUUUUUGGUCUUACUAACUCCAAAAGGUCUGAAACAUGUUCCUAAAAAGGUUUUGGACAGUGAUUUUAACCCUAACGCCAAAAACCUUAAACCUUUCCCUAGCCGCAAAACCUAAUACCUAAUUUUAUUACCUUCAGGAAGCCCGAAAACCCCAAAUAUUUUUUUUUCUUUUCUUUUUUUUUUUUGGUCUAACUAACUCCAAAAGGUCUGAAACAUGUUCCUUAAAAGGUUUUGGACAGUGAUUUUAACCCUAAGGCCAAAAACCUUAAACCUUACCCUAGCCCCAUAACCUAAUACCCGGGUAUUACCUUCAGAAAGCCCGAACACCCCAAGUAUUUUUUUUUUCAUUUUUCAUAUUUUUUUUUGGUCUAACUAACUCACAAAUGUUGGAAAAGAGUUCCUACAAAGGUUUUGGACAGUGAUUUUGACCCUAACGCCAAAAACCUAAGACCUUUCCAAAGUCCCAUAACCUAAUACCUGGGAAUUACCUUCAGGAAGCCCGAACACCCCAAAUAUUUUUGUUUCAUUGUUCAUUUUUUUUGGUCUAACUAACUCCAAAAGGUUGGAAAAGAGUUCCUACAGAGGUUUUGGAUAGUGAUUUUGACCCUAACGCCAAAAACCUUAAACCUUACCCUAGCACCAAAACCAAAUACCCGGGUAUUACCUUCAGGAAGCCCCAAAACCCCAAAUAUUUAUUUUUCAAUUUUCCUUUAUUUUUUGGUCAAACUAACUGCAAAAGGUUGGAACAGAGUUCCUAAAAAGUUUUUGGACAGUGAUUUUAACCCUAACGCCAUAAACCUUAAACCUUACCUUAGCCCCAAAACCUAAUACCCUAAUACCCGUAUUACCUUCAGGAAGCCCGAAAACCCCAAAUAUUUUUUUUUCAUUUUUCAUUACUAUUUGGUCUAACUAACUCCAAAAUGUUGGGAAAGAGUUCCUACAAAGGUUUUGGACAGUGAUUUUGACCCUAACGCCAAAAACGUUAAACCUUACCCUAGCCCCAAAAUCUUAUACCCGGGUAUUACCUUCAGGAAGCCUGAACACUCCAAAUAUUUUUUUUUUCAUUUUUCUUUUUUUUUUGGUCUAACUAACUCCAAAAGGUUGGAAAAGAGUUCCAAAAAAGGUUUUGGACAGUGAUUUUAACCCUAACGCCAAAAGCCUUAAACCUUACCCUAGCCCCAAUACCUAAUACCCGGGUAUUACCUCCAGGAAGCCCGAAAACCCCAAAUAUUUUUUUUCAUUUUACAUUUUGUUUUGGUAUAACCAACCUCAAAAGGUCUGAAACAUGUUCAUAAAAGGUUUUGGACAGUGAUUUUAGCCCUCAAGCCAAAAACCUUAAAUCUUACCAUAGCCCCAUAUCCUAAUACAGGUAUUACCUUCAGGAAGCCCAAAUACCCCAAAUAUUUUUUUUUCAUUUUUCAUUAUUAUUUGGUCUAACUAACUCCAAAAGGUUGGAAAAGAGUUCCUACAAAGGUUUUGGACAGUGAUUUGAACCCUAACGCCAAAAACCUUAAACCUUACCCUAGCCCCAUAACCUAAUACCCGGGUAUUACCUUCAGGAAGCCCGAACACCCCAAAUAUUUUUUUUUUCAUUUUUCAUAUUUUUUUUUGGUCUAACUAACUCACAAAUGUUGGAAAAGAGUUCCUACAAAGGUUUUGGACAGUGAUUUUGACCCUAACGCCAAAAACCUUAAACCCUAGCCCCAAAACCUAUUACCUUCAGGAAGCCCGGAAACCCCAAAUAUUUUUUUUUCAUUUUUCCACUUUUUUUUUUUGGUGUAACUAACUCCAAAAGGUUGGAAAAGAGUUCCUACAAAGGUUUUGGACAGUGAUUUUAACCCCAACGCAGAAAACCUUAAACCUUACCCUAGCCCCAUAACCUAACACCCGGGUAUUACCUUCAGAAAGCCCGAACACCCCAAGUAUUUUUUUUUUCAUUUUUCAUAUUUUUUUUUGGUCUAACUAACUCACAAAUGUUGGAAAAGAGUUCCUACAAAGGUUUUGGACAGUGAUUUUGACCCUAACGCCAAAAACCUUAAACCUUACCCUACACCCAUAACCUAAUACGGGUAUUACCUUCAGGAAGCCCGAAAACCCAAAAUAUUUUUUUUUCAUUUUUCAUUAUUAUUUGGUGUAACUAACUCCAAAAGGUUGGAAACGAGUUCCUACAAAGAUUUUGGACAGUGAUUUUAACCCCAACGCCAAAAACCUUAAACCUACCCUAGCCCCAUGACCUAAUACCUGGGUAUUACGUUAAGGAAGCCCGAAAACCCCAAAUAUUUUUUUUUUUUUUUUUUUUUUUUUGGUCUAACUAACUCCAAAAGGUUGGAAAAGAGUUCCUACAAAGGUUUUGGACAGUGAUUUUAACCCCAACGCAGAAAACCUUAAACCUACCCAAGCCCCAUAACCUAUUACCCGGAUAUUACCUUCAGGAAGCCUGAAAACACAAAAUAUUUUUUUUUCAUUUUUCUUUUUUUUUUGUGUAACUAACUCCAAAAGGUUGGAAAAGAGUUCCUAAAAAGGUUUUGGACAGUGAUUUUGACCCUAACGCCAAAAACCUUAAACCUUACCCUAGCCCCAAAACCUAAUACCUUCAGGAAGCCCGAAAACCCCAAAUAUUUUUUUUUCAUUUUUCAUUUUUUUUUUGGUCUAACUAACUCCAAAAGGUUGGAAAAGAGUUCCUACAAAGGUUUUGGACAGUGAUUUUAACCCCAACGCCAAAAGCCUUAAACCUACCCUACCCCCAUAACCUAAUACCCGGGUAUUACCUUCAGGAAGCCCGAAAACCCCAAAUAUUUUUUUUUCAUUUUUUUUUUUUUUUUGGUCUAACUAACUCCAAAAGGUUGGAAAAGAGUUCCUACAAAGGUUUUGGACAGUGAUUUUAACCCUAACGCCAAAAACCUUAAACCUUCCCCUAGCCCCAAAACCAAAUACCCGGGUAUUACCUUCAGGAAGUCCGAACACCCCAAAAUUUUUUUUUCAUUUUACAUUUUGUUUUGGUGUAACCAACCUCCAAAAGGUCUGAAACAUGUUCCUAAAAAGGUUUUGGACAGUGAUUUUAGCCCUCACGCCAAAAAACUUAAAUCUUAUCAUAGCCACAUAACCUAAUACCCGGGUAUUAUCUUCAGGAAGCCCGAACAUCCCAAAUAUAUAUAUAUAUAUAUAUAUAUAUAUUUUUUUUUUUUGGUCUAACUAACUCCAAAAUGUUGGAAAAGAGUUCCUACAAAGGUUUUGAACAGUGAUUUUGACCCUAACGCCAAAAACCUUAAACCUUACCCUAGCCCCAAUACCUAAUACCCGGGUAUUACCUCCAGGAAGCCCGAAAACCCCAAAUAUUUUUUUUCAUUUUACAUUUUGUUUUGGUAUAACCAACCUCAAAAGGUCUGAAACAUGUUCAUAAAAGGUUUUGGACAGUGAUUUUAGCCCCUAAAGCCAAAAACCUUAAAUCUUACCAUAGCCCCAUAUCCUAAUACAGGUAUUACCUUCAGGAAGCCCAAAUACCCCAAAUAUUUUUUUUUCAUUUUUCAUUAUUAUUUGGUCUAACUAACUCCAAAAGGUUGGAAAAGAGUUCCUACAAAGGUUUUGGACAGUGAUUUUGACCCUAACGCCAAAAACCUUAAACCUUACCCUAGCCCCAUAACCUAAUACCCGGGUAUUACCUUCAGAAAGCCCGAACACCCCAAGUAUUUUUUUUUUCAUUUUUCAUAUUUUUUUUUGGUCUAACUAACUCACAAAUGUUGGAAAAGAGUUCCUACAAAGGUUUUGGACAGUGAUUUUGACCCUAACGCCAAAAACCUUAAACCCUAGCCCCAAAACCUAUUACCUUCAGGAAGCCCGGAAACCCCAAAUAUUUUUUUUUCAUUUUUCCACUUUUUUUUUUUUGGUGUAACUAACUCCAAAUGUUGGAAAGGAGUUCCUACAAAGGUUUUGGACAGUGAUUUUGACCCUAACGCCAAAAACCUUAAACCUUCCCCUAGCCCCAAAACCUAUUACCUUCAGGAAGCCCGGAAACCCCAAAUAUUUUUUUUUCAUUUUUCCACUUUUUUUUUUUGGUGUAACUAACUCCAAAAGGUUGGAAAAGAGUUCCUACAAAGGUUUUGGACAGUGAUUUUAACCCCAACGCCAGAAAACCUUAAACCUACCCAAGCCCCAAACCUAAUUACCCGGGUAUUACCUUCAGGAAGCCCGAAAACCCCAAAUAUUUUUUUUCUUUUUCUUUUUUUUUGGUCUAACUAACUCCAAAAGGUUGGAAAAGAGUUCCUACAAAGGUUUUGGACAGUGAUUUUAACCCUAACGCCAAAAACCUUAAACCUUCCCCUAGCCCCAAAACCUAAUACCUUCAGGAAGCCAGAAAACCCCAAAUAUUUUUUUCUUUUUUCUUUUUUUUUGGUCUAACUAACUCCAAAAGGUUGGAAAAGAGUUCCUACAAAGGUUUUGGACAGUGAUUUUAACCCUAACGCCAAAAACCUUAAACCUUACCCUAGCCCCAAAACCUAAUACCCGGGUAUUACCUUCAGGAAGCCCGAAAACCCCAAAUAUAUUUUUUCUUUGUUCUUUUUUUUUUUGGUCUAACUAACUCCAAAAGGUUGGAAAAGAGUUCCUACAAAGGUUUUGGACAGUGAUUUUAACCCUAACGCCAAAAACCUUAAACCUUCCCCUAGCCCCAAAACCUAAUACCUUCAGGAAGCCCGAAAACCCCAAAUAUUUUUUUUCUUUUUUCUUUUUUUUUUUGGUGUAACUAACUCCAAAAGGUUGGAAAAGAGUUCCUACAAAGGUUUUGGACAGUGAUUUUAACCCUAACGCCAAAAACCUUAAACCUUACCCUAGCCCCAAAACCUAAUACCCGGGUAUUACCUUCAGGAAGCCCGAAAACCCCAAAUAUACUUUUUUCAUUUUAAAUUGUUUUUUGGUGUAACCAACUCCAAAAGGUCUGAAACAUGUUCCUCAAAAGGUUUUGGACAGUGAUUUUAACCCUAACGCCAAAAACCUUAAACCUUACCCUAGCCCCAUAACCAAAUACCCGGUUAUUACCUUCAGGAAGCCCGAACACAACAUAUAUAUUUUUUUUCUUUUUUUUUUUUUUGGUCUAACUAACUCCAAAAGGUUGGAAAAGAGUUCCUACAAAGGUUUUGGACAGUGAUUUUAACCCUAACGCCAAAAACCUUAAACCUUACCCUAGCCCCAAAACCUAAUACCCGGGUAUUACCUUCAGGAAGCCCGAAAACCCCAAAUAUUUUUUUUUCAUUUUUCAUUUUUUUUUUUUUGGUCUAACUAACUCCAAAAGGUUGGAAAAGAGUUCCUACAAAGGUUUUGGACAGUGAUUUUAACCCUAACGCCAAAAACCUUAAACCUUACCCUAGCCCCAAAACCUAAUACCUUCAGGAAGCCCGAAAAACCCCAAAUAUUUUUUUUUCAUUUUUCUUUUUUUUUUGGUCUAACUAACUCCAAAAGGUUGGAAAAGAGUUCCUACAAAGGUUUUGGACAGUGAUUUUAACCCCAACGCCAAAAACCUUAAACCUACCCUAGCCCCAUAACCUAAUACCCGGGUAAUACCUUCAGGAAGCCCGAAAACCCCAAAUAUUUUUUUUCUUUUUUCUUUUUUUUUUUUUGGUCUAACUAACUCCAAAAGGUUGGAAAAGAGUUCCUACAAAGGUUUUGGACAGUGAUUUUAACCCUAACGCCAAAAACCUUAAACCUUCCCCUAGCCCCAAAACCUAAUACCUUCAGGAAGCCCGAAAACCCCAAAUAUUUUUUUUUCAUUUUUCAUUAUUAUUUUUUGGUGUAACUAAAUCCAAAAGGUUGGAAAAGAGUUCCUUCAAAGGUUUUGGACAGUGAUUUUAACCCCAACGCCAAAAACCUUAAACCUUACCAUAGCCCCAUAACCUAAUAUGGGUAUUACCUUCAGGAAGCCCAAAUACCCCAAAUAUUUCUUUUUCAUUUUUCAUUUUUUUUUUUGGUGUAACUAACUCCAAAAGGUUGGAAAAGAGUUCCUACAAAGGUUUUGGACAGUGAUUUUGACCCCAACGCCAAAAACCUUAAACCUUACCCUAUUCCCAAAACCUAAUACCUUCCGGAAGCCCGAAAACCCCAAAUAUUUUUUUUCUUUUUUUUUUUUUUUUGGGUCUAACUAACUCCAAAAGGUUGGAAAAGAGUUCCUACAAAUGUUUUGGACAGUGAUUUUGACCCUAACGCCAAAAACAUUAAACCUUACCCUAGCCCCAAAACCUAAUACCCGGGUAUUACCUUCAGGAAGCCCGAAUACCCCAAAUAUUUUUUUUUUUUAUUUUUCGUUAUUUUUUGGUCUAACUAACUCCAAAAGGUCUGAAACAUGUUCCUAAAAAGGUUUUGGACAGUGAUUUUAACCCUAACGCCAAAAACCUUAAACCUUUCCCUAGCCCCAUAACCUAAUACCCUGGUAUUACCUUCAGGAAGCCCGAAAACCCCAAAUAUUUUUUUUCUUUAUUUUUUUGGUCUAACUUACUCCAAAAGGUUGCAAAAGAGUUCCUACAAAGGUUUUGGACAGUGAUUUUAACCCUAACGGCAAAAACCUUAAACCUUACCCUAGCCCCAAAACCUAAUACGGGUAUUACCUUCAGGAAGCCCGAAAACCCCAAAUAUUUUUUUUGCAUUUUUCAUUAUUAUUUGGUCUAACUAACUCCAAAAUGUUGGGAAAGAGUUCCUACAAAGGUUUUGGACAGUGAUUUUAACCCUAACGCCAAAAACCUUAAACCUUACCCUAGCCCCAAAACCUAAUACCUUCAGGAAGCCCGAAAACCCCAAAUAUUUUUUUUUCAUUUUUCAUUUUUUAUUAGUCUAACUAACUCCAAAAGAUUGGAAAAGAGUUCCUACAAAGGUUUUGGACAGUGAUUUUAACCCUAACGCCAAAAACCUUAAACCUUACCCUAGCCCCAAAACCUAAUACCCGGGUAUUACCUUCAGGAAGCCCGAAAACCCCAAAUAUUUUUUUUUCAUUUUUCUUUUUUUUGGUCUAACCAACUCCAAAAGGUUGAAAAGAGUUCCUACAAAGGUUUUGGACAGUGAUUUUAACCCUAACGCCAAAAACCUUAAACCUUUCCCUAGCCCCGUAACCUAAUACGGGUAUUACCUUCAGGAAGCCCGAAAACCCCAAAUAUUUUUUUUUCAUUUUUCUUUUUUUUUUUUGGUCUAACUAACUCCAAAAGGUUGGAAAAGAGUUCCUACAAAGGUUUUGGACAGUGAUUUUAACCCUAACGGCAAAAACCUUAAACCUUCCCCUAGCCCCAAAACCUAAUACGCGGGUAUUACCUUCAGGAAGCCCGAAUACCCCAAAUUCUUUUUUUUCAUUUCUCUUUUUUUUUUUUGGUGUAACUAACUCCAAAAGGUUGGAAAAGAGUUCCUACAAAGGUUUUGGACAGUGAUUUUAACCCUAACGCCAAAAACCUUAAACCUUUCCCUAGCCCCAAAACCGAAUACCUUCAGGAAGCCCGAAAACCCCAAAUAUUUCUUUUUUUUUUUUUUUUUUUUUUUUUGGUAUAACUAACUCCAAAAGGUUGGAAAAGAGUUCCUACAAAGGUUUUGGACAGUGAUUUUGAUCCUAACGCCAAAAACCUUAAACCUUACCCUAGCCCCAAAACCUAAUACCUUCAGGAAGCCCGAAAACCCCAAAUAUUUUUUUUUCAUGUUUUUUUUUUUUUUUGGUGUAACUAACUCCAAAAGGUUGGAAAAGAGUUCCUACAAAGGUUUUGGACAGUGAUUUUGACCCUAACGCCAAAAUUUUAAACCUUACCCUAGCCCCAAAACCUAAUACCCGGGUAUUACCUUCAGGAAGCCCGAAAACCCCAAAUAUUUUUUUUUUCAUUUUUCGUUAUUUUUUGGUCUAACUAACUCCAAAAGGUCUGAAACAUGUUCCAAAAAAGGUUUUGGACAGUGAUUUUAACCCUAACGGCAAAAACCUUAAACCUUACCCUAGCCCCAAAACCUAAUACGCGGGUAUUACCUUCAGGAAGCCCGAAAACCCCAAAUAUUUUUUUUUUCAUUUUUCUUUUUUUUUUUUUGGUGUAACUAACUCCAAAAGGUUGGAAAAGAGUUCCUACAAAGGUUUUGGACAGUGAUUUUGACCCUAACGCCAAAAACGUUAAACCUUACCCUAGCCCCAAAACCUAAUACCUGGGUAUUACCUUCAGGAAGCCCGAACACUCCAAAUAUUUUUUUUUCAUUUUUCGUUAUUUUUUGGUCUAACUAACUCCAAAAGGUUGGAAAAGAGUUCCUAAAAAGGUUUUGGACAGUGAUUUUAACCCUAACGCCAAAAACCUUAAACCUUACCCUAGCCCCAAAACCUAAUACCCGGGUAUUACCUUCAGGAAGCCCGAAAACCCCAAAUAUUUUUUUUUCAUUUUUCAUUAUUAUUUGGUCUAACUAACUCCAAAAGGUUGGAAAAGAGUUCCUACAAAAAGGUUUUGGACAGUGAUUUUAACCCUAACGCCAAAAACAUUAAACCUUACCCUAGCCCCAAAACCUAAUACGCGGGUAUUCCCUUCAUGAAGCCCGAAAACCCCAAAUAUUUUUUUUUUCUUUUUUCUUUUUUUUUUUUUGGUGUAACUAACUCCAAAAGGUUGGAAAAGAGUUCCUAAAAAGGUUUUGGACAGUGAUUUUGACCCUAACGCCAAAAACCUUAAACCUUACCCUAGCCCCAAAACCUAAUACCCGGGUAUUACCUUCAGGAAGCCCGAACACCCCAAAUAUUUUUUUUUUCAUUUUUCGUUAUUUUUUGGUCUAACUAACUCCAAAAGGUCUGAAACAUGUUCCAAAAAAGGUUUUGGACAGUGAUUUUAACCCUAACACCAAAAACCUUAAACCUUACCCUAGCCCCAUAACCUAAUACCCGGGUAUUACCUUCAGGAAGCCCGAAAACCCCAAAUAUUUUUUUUUCAUUUUUCAUUAUUAUUUGGUCUAACUAACUCCAAAAUGUUGGAAAAGAGUUCCUACAAAGGUUUUGGACAGUGAUUUUAACCCUAACACCAAAAACCUUAAACCUUACCCUAGCCCCAUAACCUAAUACCCGGGUAUUACCUUCAGGAACCCCGAACACCCCAAAUAUUUUUUUUUUCAUUUUUCGUUAUUUUUUGGCCUAACUAACUCCAAAAGGUCUGAAACAUGUUCCAAAAAAGGUUUUGGACAGUGAUUUUAACCCUAACGCCAAAAACAUUAAACCUUACCCUAGCCCCAAAACCUAAUACGCGGGUAUUCCCUUCAUGAAGCCCGAAAACCCCAAAUAUUUUUUUUUUCUUUUUUUUUUUUUUUGGUCUAACUAACUCCAAAAGGUUGGAAAAGAGUUCCUACAAAGGUUUUGGACAGUGAUUUUAACCCUAACGCCAAAAACCUUAAACCUUCCCCUAGCCCCAAAACCUAAUACGCGGGUAUUACCUUCAGGAAGCCCGAAAACCCCAAAUUUUUUUUUUCAUUUUUUUUUUUUUUGGUGUAACUAACUCCAAAAGGUUGGAAAAGAGUUCCUACAAAGGUUUUGGACAGUGAUUUUAACCCUAACGCCAAAAACCUUAAACCUUUCCCUAGCCCCAAAACCGAAUACCUUCAGGAAGCCCGGAAAUCCCAAAUAUUUUUUUCUUUUUUUUUUUUUUUUUUUUGGUAUAACUAACUCCAAAAGGUUGGAAAAGAGUUCCUACAAAGGUUUUGGACAGUGAUUUUAACCCCAACGCCAAAAACCUUAAACCUUACCCUAGCCCCAAAACCUAAUACCUUCAGGAAGCCCGAAAACCCCAAAUAUUUUUUUUCAUUUUUUUUUUUUUUUUGGUGUAACUAACUCCAAAAGGUUGGAAAAGAGUUCCUACAAAGGUUUUGGACAGUGAUUUUAACCCUAACGCCAAAAACCUUAAACCUUACCCUAGCCCCAAAACCUAUACCCGGGUAUUACCUUCAGGAAGCCCGAACACCCCAAAUAUUUUUUUUUCAUUUUUUUUCGUUAUUUUUUGGCCUAACUAACUCCAAAAGGUUGGAAAAGAGUUCCUACAAAGGUUUUGGACAGUGAUUUUAACCCUAACGCCAAAAACAUUAAACCUUACCCUAGCCCCAAAACCUAAUACGCGGGUAUUCCCUUCAUGAAGCCCGAAAACCCCAAAUAUUUUUUUCUUUUUUCUUUUUUUUUUUGGUCUAACUAACUCCAAAAUGUUGGAAAAGAGUUCCUACAAAAGGUUUUGGACAGUGAUUUUAACCCUAACGCCAAAAACCUUAAACCUUACCCAGCCCCAAAACCUAAUACCCGGGUAUUACCUUCAGGAAGCCCGAACACCCCAAAUAUUUUUUUUUUUUCAUUUUUCGUUAUUUUUUGGUCUAACUAACUCCAAAAUGUUGGAAAAGAGUUCCUACAAAGGUUUUGGACAGUGAUUUUAACCCCAACGCCAAAAACCUUAAACCUUACCCUAGCCCCAUAACCUAAUACCCGGGUAUUACCUUCAGGAAGCCCGAAAACCCCAAAUAUUUUUUUUUUCAUUUUUCAUUAUUAUUUGGUCUAACUAACUCCAAAAGGUUGGAAAAGAGUUCCUACAAAGGUUUUGGACAGUGAUUUUAACCCUAACGCCAAAAACCUUAAACCUUCCCCUAGCCCCAAAACCUAAUACCUUCAGGAAGCCCGAAAACCCCAAAUAUUUUUUUUUCAUUUUUCUUUUUUUUUUUUUGGUGUAACUAACUCCAAAAGGUUGGAAAAGAGUUCCUAAAAAGGUUUUGGACAGUGAUUUUAACCCUAACGCCAAAAACCUUAAACCUUUCCCUAGCCCCAUAACCUAAUACCCGGGUAUUACCUUCAGGAAGCCCGAACACCCCAAAUAUUUUUUUUUCAUUUUUCUUUUUUUUUUGGUCUAACUAACUCCAAAAGGUUGGAAAAGAGUUCCUACAAGGUUUUGGACAGUGAUUUUAACCCUAACGCCAAAAACCUUAAACCUUACCCUAGCCCCAAAACCUAAUACCCGGGUAUUACCUUCAGGAAGCCCGAAAACCCCAAAUAUUUUUUUUUCAAAUUUCCUUUAUUUUUUUGUCUAACUUACUCCAAAAGGUUGGAAAAGAGUUCCUACAAAGGUUUUGGACAGUGAUUUUAACCCUAACGCCAAAAACUUAAACCUUACCCUAGCCCCAAAACCAAAUACCCGGGUAUUACCUUCAGGAAGCCCGAAAACCCCAAAUAUUUUUUUUUCAAAUUUCCUUUAUUUUUUGGUCUAACUGACUCCAAAAGGUUGGAAAAGAGUUCCUACAAAGGUUUUGGACAGUGAUUUUGACCCUAACGCCAAAAACCUUAAACCUUACCCUAGCCCCAAAACCUAAUACCCGGGUAUUACCUUCAGGAAGCCCGAAAACCCCAAAUAUUUUUUUCUUCAUUUUUCAUUUUUUAUUGGUCUAACUAACUCCAAAAGGUUGAAAAGAGUUCCUACAAAGGUUUUGGACAGUGAUUUUAACCCUAACGCCAAAAACGUUAAACCUUACCCUAGCCCGAAAACCAAAUACCCGGGUAUUACCUUCAGGAAGCCCGAAAACCCCAAAUAUUUUUUUUUCAUUUUUCUUUUUUUUUUGGUCUAACCAUCUCCAAAAGGUUGGAAAAGAGUUCCUACAAAGGUUUUGGACAGUGAUUUUAACCCUAACAGCAAAAACCUUAAACCUUCCCCUAGCCCCAAAACCUAAUACGCGGGUAUUACCUUCAGGAAGCCCGAAUACCCCAAAUAUUUUUUUUUCAUUCCUCAUUUUUUUUUUGGUGUAACUAACUCCAAAAGGUUGGAAAAGAGUUCCUACAAAGGUUUUGGACAGUGAUUUUAACCCUAACGCCAAAAACCUUAAACCUUUCCCUAGCCCCAAAACCGAAUACCUUCAGGAAGCCCGAAAACCCCAAAUAUUUCUUUUCUUUUUUCUUUUUUUUUUUUUUUUGUAUAACUAACUCCAAAAGGUUGGAAAAGAGUUCCUACAAAGGUUUUGGACAGUGAUUUUGAUCCGAACGCCAAAAACCUUAAACCUUACCCUAGCCCCAAAACCUAAUACCUUCAGGAAGCCCGGAAAUCCCCAAAUAUUUUAUUUUCAUGUUUUUUUUUUUUUUUUUUUGGUGUAACUAACUCCAAAAGGUUGGAAAAGAGUUCCUGCAAAGGAUUUGGACAGUGAUUUUGACCCUAACGCCAAAAUUGUUAAACCUUACCCUAGCCCCAAAACCUUAUACCCGGGUAUUACCUUCAGGAAGCCCGAACACUCCAAAUAUUUUUUUUUUCAUUUUUCGUUAUUUUUUGGCCUAACUAACUCCAAAAGGUCUGAAACAUGUUCCAAAAAAGGUUUUGGACAGUGAUUUUAACCCUAACGCCAAAAACAUUAAACCUUACCCUAGCCCCAAAACCUAAUACGCGGGUAUUCCCUUCAUGAAGCCCGAAAACCCCAAAUAUUUUUUUUUUCUUUUUUCUUUUUUUUUUUUUGGUGUAACUAACUCCAAAAGGUUGGAAAAGAGUUCCUAAAAAGGUUUUGGACAGUGAUUUCGACCCUAACGCCAAAAACGUUAAACCUUACCCUAGCCCGAAAACCUAAUACCCGGGUAUUACCUUCAGGAACCCCGAACACCCCAAAUAUUUUUUUUUUCAUUUUUCGUUAUUUUUUGGUCUAACUAACUCCAAAAGGUCUGAAACAUGUUCCAAAAAAGGUUUUGGACAGUGAUUUUAACCCUAACACCAAAAACCUUAAACCUUACCCUAGCCCCAUAACCUAAUACCCGGGUAUUACCUUCGGGAAGCCCGAAAACCCCAAAUAUUUUUUUUUUCAUUUUUCAUUAUUAUUUGGUCUAACUAACUCCAAAAGGUUGGAAAAGAGUUCCUACAAAGGUUUUGGACAGUGAUUUUAACCCUAACGCCAAAAACAUUAAACCUUACCCUAGCCCCAAAACCUAAUACCUUCAGGAAGCCCGAAAACCCCAAAUAUUUUUUUUCAUUUUUCAUUUUUUUUUUUUGGUGUAACUAACUCCAAAAGGUUGGAAAAGAGUUCCUAAAAAGGUUUUGGACAGUGAUUUCGACCCUAACGCCAAAAACCUUAAACCUUUCCAAAGCCCCAUAACCUAAUACCUGGGUAUUACCUUCAGGAAGCCCGAACACCCCAAAUAUUUUUUUUUCAUUUUUCUUUUUUUUUUUGGUCUUACUAACUCCAAAAGGUUGGAAAAGGGUUCCUACAGAGGAUUUGGACAGUGAUUUUGACCCUAACGCCAAAAACCUUAAACCUUACCCUAGCCCCAAAACCAAAUACCCGGGUAUUACCUUCAGGAGGCCCGAAAACCCCAAAUAUUUUUUUUUCAAAUUUCCUUUAUUUUUUGGUCUAACUGACUCCAAAAGGUUGGAAAAGAGUUCCUACAGAGGAUUUGGACAGUGAUUUUGACCCUAACGCCAAAAACCUUAAACCUUACCCUAGCCCCAAAACCAAAUACCCGGGUAUUACCUUCAGGAGGCCCGAAAACCUCAAAUAUUUUUUUUUCAAAUUUCCUUUAUUUUUUGGUCUAACUGACUCCAAAAGAUUGGAAAAGAGUUCCUACAGAGGAUUUUGGACAGUGAUUUUGACCCUAACGCCAAAAACCUUAAACCUUACCCUAGCCCCAAAACCUAAUACCCGGGUAUUACCUUCAGGAAGCCCGAGUACCCCAAAAAAUUCUAUGUUUUAAUUUUUCGUUAUUUUUUGGUCUAACUAACUCCAAAAGGUCUGAAACAUGUUCCUAAAAAGGUUUUGGACAGUGAUUUUAGCCCUCACGCCAUAAACCUUAAAUCUUACCAUAGUCCCAUAACCUAAUACCCGGGUAUUACCUUCAGGAAGCCUGAAUACCCCAAAUAUUUUUUUUUCAUUUUUCUUUUUUUUUUUUUGGUGUAACUAACUCCAAAAGGUUGAAAAGAGUUCCUAAAAAGGUUUUGGACAGUGAUUUUGACCCUAACGCCAAAAACAUUAAACCUUACCCUAGCCCCAAAACUUAUACCCGGAAAUUACCUUGAGGAAGCCUGAACACCCCAAAUAUUUUUUUUUUUCAUUUUUCGUUAUUUUUUGGUCUAACUAACUCCUAAAGGUUGGAAAAGAGUUCCGACAGAGGUUUUGGACAGUGAUUUUAACCCCAACGCCAAAAACCUUAAAUCUUACCAUAGCCCCAUAACCUAAUACGGGUAUUACCUUCAGGAAUCCCGAAUACCUCAAUUAUUUUUUUUCAUUUUUCUUUUUUUUUUUUUUGGUGUACCUAACUCCAAAAGGUUGGAAAAGAGUUCCUACAAAGGUUUUCGACAGUGAUUUUGACCCUAACGCCAAAAACGUUAAACCUUACCCUAUUCCCAAAACCUAAUACCUUCAGGAAGCCCGAAAACCCCAAAUAUUUUUUUUCUUUUUUCUUUUUUUUUGGGUCUAACUAACUCCAAAAGGUUGGAAAAGAGUUCCUACAAAUGUUUUGGACAGUGAUUUUGACCCUAACGCCAAAAACGUUAAACCUUACCCUAGCCCCAAAACCUAAUACCCGGGUAUUACCUUCAGGAAGCCCGAACACUCCAAAUAUUUUUUUUUUCAUUUUUCGUUAUUUUUUGGUCUAACCAACUCCAAAAGGUCUGAAACAUGUUCCAAAAAAGGUUUUGGACAGUGAUUUUAACCCUAACGGCAUAAACCUUAAACCUUACCCUAGCCCCGUAACCUAAUACGGGUAUUACCUUCAGGAAGCCCGAAAACCCCAAAUAUUUUUUUUUCAUUUUUCUUUUUUUUUUGGUCUAACCAUCUCCAAAAGGUUGGAAAAGAGUUCCUACAAAGGUUUUGGACAGUGAUUUUAACCCUAACAGCAAAAACCUUAAACCUUCCCCUAGCCCCAAAACCUAAUACGCGGGUAUUACCUUCAGGAAGCCCGAAUACCCCAAAUAUUUUUUUUUCAUUCCUCUUUUUUUUUUUGGUGUAACUAACUCCAAAAGGUUGGAAAAGAGUUCCUACAAAGGUUUUGGACAGUGAUUUUAACCCUAACGCCAAAAACCUUAAACCUUUCCCUAGCCCCAAAACCGAAUACCUUCAGGAAGCCCGAAAACCCCAAAUAUUUCUUUUCUUUUUUCUUUUUUUUUUUUUCUGGUAUAACUAACUCCAAAAGGUUGGAAAAGAGUUCCUACAAAGGUUUUGGACAGUGAUUUUGAUCCUAACGCCAAAAACCUUAAACCUUACCCUAGCCCCAAAACCUAAUACCUUCAGGAAGCCCGGAAAUCCCCAAAUAUUUUAUUUUCAUGUUUUUUUUUUUUUUUUUUUUGGUGUAACUAACUCCAAAAGGUUGGAAAAGAGUUCCUGCAAAGGAUUUGGACAGUGAUUUUGACCCUAACGCCAAAAUUGUUAAACCUUACCCUAGCCCCAAAACCUUAUACCCGGGUAUUACCUUCAGGAAGCCCGAACACUCCAAAUAUUUUUUUUUUCAUUUUUCGUUAUUUUUUGGCCUAACUAACUCCAAAAGGUCUGAAACAUGUUCCAAAAAAGGUUUUGGACAGUGAUUUUAACCCUAACGCCAAAAACAUUAAACCUUACCCUAGCCCCAAAACCUAAUACGCGGGUAUUCCCUUCAUGAAGCCCGAAAACCCCAAAUAUUUUUUUUUUCUUUUUUCUUUUUUUUUUUUUGGUGUAACUAACUCCAAAAGGUUGGAAAAGAGUUCCUAAAAAGGUUUUGGACAGUGAUUUCGACCCUUACGCCAAAAACGUUAAACCUUACCCUAGCCCCAAAACCUAAUACCCGGGUAUUACCUUCAGGAAGCCUGAACACCCCAAAUAUUUUUUUUUUCAUUUUUCGUUAUUUUUUGGUCUAACUAACUCCAAAAGGUCUGAAACAUGUUCCAAAAAAGGUUUUGGACAGUGAUUUUAACCCUAACACCAAAAACCUUAAACCUUACCCUAGCCCCAUAACCUAAUACCCGGGUAUUACCUUCGGGAAGCCCGAAAACCCCAAAUAUAUUUUUUUCUUUUUUCUUUUUCUUUUGUUCUAACUAACUCCAAAAGGUUGGAAAAGAGUUCCUACAAAGGUUUUGGACAGUGAUUUUAACCCUAACGCCAAAAACCUUAAACCUUACUCUAGCCCCAAAACCUAAUACGGGGGUAUUACCUUCAGGAAGCCCUAACACCCCAAAUAUUUUUGUUUCAUUUUUCUUUUUUUUUUGGUCUAACUAACUCCAAAAGGUUGGAAAAGAGUUCCUACAAAGGUUUUGGACAGUGAUUUUAACCCUAACGCCAAAAACAUUAAACCUUACCCUAGCCCCAAAACCUAAUACCUUCAGGAAGCCCGAAAACCCCAAAUAUUUUUUUUCAUUUUUCUUUUUUUUUUUUUGGUGUAACUAACUCCAAAAGGUUGGAAAAGAGUUCCUAAAAAGGUUUUGGACAGUGAUUUCGACCCUAACGCCAAAAACCUUAAACCUUUCCAAAGCCCCAUAACCUAAUACCUGGGUAUUACCUUCAGGAAGCCCGAACACCCCAAAUAUUUUUUUUUCAUUUUUCUUUUUUUUUUGGUCUUACUAACUCCAAAAGGUUGGAAAAGGGUUCCUACAGAGGAUUUGGACAGUGAUUUUGACCCUAACGCCAAAAACCUUAAACCUUACCCUAGCCCCAAAACCAAAUACCCGGGUAUUACCUUCAGGAGGCCCGAAAACCGCAAAUAUUUUUUUUUCAAAUUUCCUUUAUUUUUUGGUCUAACUGACUCCAAAAGGUUUGAAAAGAGUUCCUACAGAGGAUUUGGACAGUGAUUUUGACCCUAACGCCAAAAACCUUAAACCUUACCCUAGCCCCAAAACCUAAUACCCGGGUAUUACCUUCAGGAAGCCCGAGUACCCCAAAAAAUUCUAUUUUUUCAUUUUUCGUUAUUUUUUGGUCUAACUAACUCCAAAAGGUCUGAAACAUGUUCCUAAAAAGGUUUUGGACAGUGAUUUUAGCCCUCACGCCAUAAACCUUAAAUCUUACCAUAGCCCCAUAACCUAAUACGGGUAUUCCCUUCAGGAAGCCCGAAUACCCCAAAUCUUUUUUUUUCAUUUUUCUUUUUUUUUUUUUGGUGUAACUAACUCCAAAAGGUUGGAAAAGAGUUCCUAAAAAGGUUUUGGACAGUGAUAUUUACCCUAACGCCAAAAACCUUAAACCGUACCCUAGCCCCAUAACCUAAUACCCGUAUAUUACCUUCAGGAAGCCCGAAAACCCCAAAUAUUCUUUUUUUCUUUUUUCAUUUUUUUUUGGUGUAACUAACUCCAAAAGGUUGGAAACGAGUUCCUACAAAGGUUUUGGACAGUGAUUUUAACCCUAACGCCAAAAACAUUAAACCUUACCCUAGCCCCAAAACCUAAUACGCGGGUAUUACCUUCAGGAAGCCCGAAAACCCCAAAUAUUUUUUUUUCUUUUUUCUUCUUUUUUUUUUGGUGUAACUAACUCCAAAAGGUUGGAAAAGAGUUCCUACAAAGGUUUUGGACAGUGAUUUUAACCCUAACGCCAAAAACCUUAAACCUUACCCUAGCCCCAAAACCUAAUACGGGGGUAUUACCUUCAGGAAGCCCGAGUACCCCCCAAAAUUCUUUUUUCAUUUUUCGUUUUUUUUUUUGGUCUAACUAACUCCAAAAGUUUGGAAAAGAGUUCCUACAAAGGUUUUGGACAGUGAUUUUAACCCUAACGCCAAAAACCUUAAACCUUACCCUAGCCCCAUAACCUAAUACCCGGGUAUUACCUUCGGGAAGCUCGAAAACCCCAAAUAUUUUUUUUUCAUUUUUCAUUAUUAUUUGGUCUAACUAACUCCAAAAGGUUGGAAAAGAGUUCCUACAAAGGUUUUGGACACUGAUUUUAACCCUUACGCUAAAAACCUUAAACCUUACCCCAGCCCCGUAACCUAAUACCCAGGUAUUACCUCAAGGAAUUCUUAACACCCCAAAAAAAUUUUAUUUCAUUUUUUUUUUUUUUUUUUGGUCUAACUAACUCCAAAAGAAGAAAAGAGGAAAAGAGUUUCUUCAAAGGUUUUGGACAGUGAUUUUCACCCUAACACCAAAAACCUUUAACCUUUACCUAGCCCUUAAACCUAAUACCCGGGUAUUACCUAAAGGAAGCCCUACCAUCCCCCCAAUUUUUUUUUUUUUUCGUUUUUUUUUUGUCUAACUAACUCCAAAAGAUCUUAAACAUGUUCCUUUAAAAAUAUUGCACAGUGAUUUUAACCCUAACGCUAAAAACCUUAAGCCUAACCCUAGCCCCGAAACUAAUACCCGGAUAUUACCUUAAGGAAGCCUUCACACCCCAAAAUUUUUUUUUCAUUUUUCGUUUUUUUUUUUGGUCUCACUAACUCCAAAAGGUUGGAAAAGAGUUCCUACAAAGGUUUUGGACAGUGAUUUUAACCCAUACGCCAAAAACCUUAAACUUUACCCUAGCCCCGUAACCUAAUUCCUGGGUAUUACCUUCAGGAAGCCUUAACACCCCCAAAAACUUUUUUUUCAUUUUUCUUUUUUUUUUUUUUAGUCUGGCUCCCUCCAAAAGGUUGGAAAAGAGUUCCUACAAAGGUUUUGGACAGUGAUUUUAACCCUAAUGCAAAAAACCUCUAACCUUUUCCUAGCCCUGUAACAUAAUAUAUACAUAAUAUUGCUCUACAAACACAUAGUCUAAAAGAUAGACAGCAUAGCAUACCAACUGAGCUGAGUCAUUAAACUUUCUACCAACACAUAAUUUUUACACACAGAUUGAGCUCGGAGACUCGACUGGAACAUGUGACAGGUCGACAUGCGCUGGCCAGUGCAAGCCCUUGAUCAGCCUACCCCAAACCGCCAAGUCAACUGACGAAAGCGGGGGCUAUCACUCUAUCUCUUUCCCACACCUAACCAGCCACUUGCCUUUGGACAGACUUGUCACAAUAUCAUUCCGAGAAUAGUCUGAGCCCAUGCUCCUUCUGUGCACACAACCCCCCCCCCCCCGUUUAUAGAAUCUAAGAUCUUCCAGUUUCAAGGGUGAGAGUGAAUUCCAAAGAAUCCUCCACCUUGGAACCUAUACUAACACUACAUAACUCCUGACCCCACCCUGCCUACCUCCUUUUCUCCCUCUCUCAUGAUCUGUACCUCUCUCUCCUAUCAGAGGAUGAAAACCAGCAGGUGAGGAGAGUCUCAAUGGCGAGUCACAGUGGCAAGAUCUAUUCUCUUUCUAUCACUCGAAUCCCUGCAUGAGCAGAAUGGUGCCAGAUGGACCACCUGCUCCCACCACAAUCCUCUGUGACUUUUUGACUCUAUCCACUUUUAGAACUUAAAAUAGUAAUCAAUAAUCAACUGACCAACUCAGCUCAAACCAAACCCAAAACUCUGCCUAGAGAACUCUCACUUCCACGUUUACAUAUCUCUUUGUAUCUUGUGAGGACCGUGAGGAGAGCAGAGCCUAGACCUAGUCGGGUUGGGGGACUAUGUCCCUUGCUCACUCUCCUCACAUGGAUGGUGAGAGCUGGGGAGCUAUGGGAUGUUUCAUCCGCCACCAAAUCCCCCUCACAAAUCUUUAUUUUCCACCAUCUCCACCUCUCCCUUAAACCCCCCUCUCCCUCUUCCCUUCUCUCUCUCUCUCUCUCUCUCUCACACACACACACACCCCUCUCUCUCUCUCUCUCUCUCUCUCUCUCCCUCAUCUCUCCCCCUCUCUCUAACACACCCCCUCUUUCUUAUUCCCUCCCCUGCCCCUUUAUUUUCACCUUCACAGAGGACAAAUAGGCGAUCUUCAGCCUCGGCCUACCCCGGCCGGGGGGUAACCCCUGUUGGGUCACCUAUAUGGAGGAUUAAGAGAGACCUGAAGGGGAACCGCCGUGCCCCCUAAAUCCUCCCCCUCUAACAUCUUUUUUAACACUCUAAAAUUAGCCAGCUAACCCCACUACAAACAACUUCAUCAAAAAUUUAAAUAAUAAGUUUAUUAAAAACUGACCAUCAGUGACACCAGACUAAGCUAGCAAAAAAGAACACACAUACACGUGCAGAUUUUCCCUUAGGACAUUGAUCAAAUUUACAUUUCUGUCUGUCUUUUAGGGAACCAAACUCUGUUUUUCAGCUCACUUCUGAUUUUUGCUAUUUGUUCUUGACACUUCUUUUUUUCCUUUUUUCUUCUCCUUUCCCUUUUGCAAUCCACUUUUGUUCUUCUUUUAUUUUUUUAUUUUUUCAUUGUUUUAUUUUAUUUUAUUUUAUUUUAGGGUUCCUGUGCUUUUGUUUGUCUUCCCCCCUCCCCUCUUUUUUCUUAGGAAGGACUGACUCCUGAGGUUCUCAUGCCAGGAAAAAUGUACCUCCCACACUCACGGUUUUACCCACAAUCCUUUGCUGGAACAGGGAGAUUGAUUCCCAAGGCUCUCAUGCCAGAAAGGAAGUACCUCACUCACUCACGGUUUUACCCACAAUCCUUUGCUGUAACAGGAAGAUUGAUUCCUUAGGCUCUCAUCCCUCAGAACUAAAAUACCCACAAUCCCUUGCGAUUGCAUACAAAUUUAAUGUAGCAAAACUCAAUUUAAAACAAAUAAACCACUUUAAAAUUAACUUAAAACAACUUGAAAGUUUAAAAUACAACCAAGAGACAUCUAUUCUGGAAUACAAACAUCGAGAAGAGAACACAACCAUGUCUAAGAGGAACAGCACAAACCAUGACUCGAGCCCAACUCUGGCGAUGUCUUCUCCUGUCAAAAGCACAUUUAAGUGCUGUGAACUAAAGCGCAAUUCCUGUUCCUGUAAUUGAGACAACGCACUGACCACUGGACCAAGAAGACGGGCCACCGCCUCGAGGAAGACGCCGCGCCGCCACCUGAAAGAAGACGCCGCACCUCCAUCACUCCAAGCCGCCAACCACCGAGCUUCGACCCGCCGACGGCACCGAGUCCCAGCAAACCUUGCCGCGAAUCUUCUUUCCCCCGCCGAGGACCACGGACUUCAGACACACCGCUGCCACCGCGGCUGGACAGCUGGAACCUUUUCCCCCCUCCAACAGAUUUUAGACUACAGGAAAAGAAACGCCUCACAUCAACAACAACAUAGGACCACUAGGGUAAGUCUACAAAAAACCUCUCAAACACCUCAAAAUUACUCUAAAUAGUUAGUUUUUUUUGUUGAACUUGAGUUUGUGUCGUUUUUGAACUUGAGUUUGUGGUGUUUUUGAACUUGAGUUUGUGUCGUGUUUGAAGUUUGUGGCAACUUAUGAACUUGAGUUUGUUUGGCUUGAUUUUCUGGCAAUUGUUGAACUUGAGUGUGGUUUUUAGUGAACUUUAGUUGGUGGCAAUUGUUGAACUUGAGUUUGUGGCGUUAGUUGAACUUGAGUUUGUGGUGUUUGUUGAACUUGAGUUUGUGAAGUGUUUGAACUUGAGUUUGUGUUUUUUUUAACUUGAGGUUGUGGCAAUUGUUAAACUUGAGAAUCGGGUGUUGGUUGAACUUGAGUUUGUGGUGUUCAUUGAACUUGAGUUUGUGGAAUAUUUGAACUUGAGUUUAUUAUGUUUUUUUAACUUGAGGUUCUGGUGUUUUUGAACUUGAGUUUGUGGCGUUUGUUGAACUUGAGAUCGUGGCGUUUUGAACUUGAGUUUGUGCUGUUUUUUGAAUUGAGGUUGUGGCGUGUUUGAACUUGAGUUUGUGUGUUUUUUGAACUUGAGGUUGUGGAAAUUGUUAAACUUGAGAAUCGGGUGUUGUUUGAACUUGAGUUUGUGGUUUUUUUUUAACUUGAGUUUGUGUCAUGUUUGAACUUGAGUUUGUGGUGUUUUUGAACUUGAGUUUGUGUUGUUUUUGAACUUAAGGUUGUGGAAAUUGUUAAACUUGAGAAUUGGGUAUUGGUUGAACUUGAAUUUGUGUGUUAUUUGAAUUUGAGUUUGUGGUGUUUUUGAACUUGAGUUUGUGUUGUUUUUGAACUUGAGGUUGUGGCAAUUGUUAAACUUGAGAUUUGGGUGUUGGUUUAACUUGAGUUUGUGUCGUUUGAACUUGAGUUUGUGGUGUUUUUGAUUUGUGUGUUUUUUUAUCUUAAGUUUGUGGCAAUUUAUGAACUUGAGUUUGUUGAACUUGAGUUUGUGGUCUUUGUUCAACUUGAGUUUGUGGUUUUUAGUGAACUCUAGUUGGUGGCAUCUUUGAACUUGAGUUUGUGGCAUUUGUUGAACUUGAGGUUUGGGUGUUGGUUGAUCUUGAGUUUGUGUCUUGUUUGAACUUUUGUUUUUGGAUUUUUUGAACUAGAGUUUGUGUGUUUUUUGAUCUUGAGUAUGUGUGUUUGUUGAACUUGAGUUUGUGGUGUUUUUUGAACUUGAGGUUGUGGUGUUUUUGAACUUGAGUUUGUGGCAAUUGUUAAACUUGAGGUUUGGGUGUUGGUUGAUCUUGAGUUUGUGUCUUGUUUGAACUUUUGUUUUUGGAUUUUUUGAACUAGAGUUUGUGUGUUUUUUGAACUUGAGUAUGUGUGUUUGUUGAACUUGAGUUUGUGGUGUUUUUUGAACUUGAGGUUGUGGUGUUUUUGAACUUGAGUUUGUGUUUUUCUUGAACUUGAGUUUUUGGCAUGUUCGAAUUUGAGGUUGUUGCAAUUCUUAAACUUGAGAUUUGGGUGUUGGUUGAACUUGAAACUGUGACAUUUGUUGAACUUGAGUUUGUGGCAAUUGUUGAACUUGAGUCUGUAUUUUUCUCUGAACUUUAGUUGGUGGCAAUUGUUGAACUUGAGUUUGUGGUGUUUUCUGCACUUGAGUUUGUGUCGUGUUUGAACUUGAGUUUGUGUUGUAUUUGAACUUGAGGUUGUGGAAAUUGUUAAACGUGAGUAUUGGGUAUUGGUUAAACUUGAGUUUGUGUGUUUGUUGAACCUGAGUUUGUGUCUUGUUUGAACUUGAGAUUGUGCUGUUUUGUGAUCUUGAAUUUGUGUGGGUUUUUUUGAACUUGAGUUUUUGGUGUUUUUGAAUUUGAGUUUCUGUUGUUUUUUAACAUGAGGUUGUGGCAAUUGUUAAGCUUGAGAUUUGGGUGUUGGUUGAAAUUAAGUUUCGGCAUUUUUGAACUUGAGUUUGUGGUGUUUUUGAACUUGAAUUUGUGUGUUUUUUUUAACCUGAGUUUGUUGCAAUUUUUGAACUUGAGUUUGUUGAACUUGAGUUUUUGGCAAUUGUUUAAUGUGAGUAUAGGUCAUUUGUUGAAUUUGAAAUUUUGGCAUUUUUUGAACUUAAGCUUGUGGUGUUUGAUGAGCUUGAGUUUGUGGCAAUUGUUAACCUUGAGUCUGUAUUUUUCUCUGAACUUUAGUUGGUGGCAAUUGUUGAACUUGAGUUUGUGGCGUUUGUUGUACUUGAGUUUGUGGCGUGUUUGAACUUGAGUUUCUGUUGGUUUUGAUCUUGAGGUUGUGGAAAUUGUUAAACUUGAGAUUUGGGAUUUGGUUGAACUUGAGUUUGUGAAUCUUGUUUGAACUUGAGUUUGUGGUGUUUUUGAUCUUGAGCUUUUGUGUUUUUUGAACUGAAGUUUGUGGCAAUUGUUAAACUUGUUACUUGGGUGUUGGUUGAACUUGAGUUUGUGGUGUUUUUGAACUUGAGUUUGUGAAGUGUUUGAACUAGAUUUUCUGGUUAUUUUUGAACUUGAGUGUGUGUUUUUCUAACUUGAGUUUGUAGUGUGUCUGAACUUGAGUUUUUGUUUUUUUUUAACUUUAGGUUGUGGAAAUUGUUAAACUUGCGAAGUGGGCAUUGGUUGAACUUGAGUUUGUGUGUUUGUUGAACUUGAGUUUUUGUCGUUUAGAACUUGAGUUUGUGGUGUUUUUGAACUUGAGUUUUUGGUGUUUGUCGAACUUAAGUUUUUGUCGUUUAGAACUUGAGUUUGUGGUGUUUUUGAACUUGAGGUUUUGGCAAAUGUUAAACUUGAUAUUUGGGUGUUGUUUGAACUUGAGUUUGUGUCAUGUUUGAACUUGAGGUUUUGGCAAAUGUUAAACUUGAUAUUUGGGUGUUGUUUGAACUUGAGUUUGUGUCGUGUUUGAACUUGAGUUUUUGUCGUGUUUGAACUUGAGUUUGUGUCGUGUUUGAACUUGAGGUUGUGGAAAUUGUUAAACGUGAGAAUUGGGUAUUGGUUAAACUUGAGUUUGUGUGUUUGUUGAACUUGAGUUUGUGUCGUGUUUGAACUUGAGAUUGUGCUGUUUUGUGAUCUUGAAUUUGUGUGUUUUUUUUAACUUGAGUUUUUGGUGUUUUUGAAUUUGAGUUUCUGUUGUUUUGAACAUGAGGUUGUGGCAAUUGUUAAACUUGAGAUUUGGGUGUUGGUUGAAAUUAAGUUUCGGCAUUUUUGAACUUGAGUUUGUGGUGUUUUUGAACUUGAAUUUGUGUGCUUUUUAAACCUGAGUUUGUUGCAAUUUUUGAACUUGAGUUUUUGGCAAUUGUUUAAUGUUAAUAUAGGUCAUUUAUUGAAUUUGAAAUUUUGGCAUUUUUUGAACUUAAGCUUGUGGUGUUUGUUGAACUUGAGUUUAUGGCAAUUGUUAACCUUGAGUCUGCAUUUUUCUCUGAACAUUAGUUGGUGGCAAUUGUUGAACUUGAGUUCGUGUGUUUGUUGAACUUGAGUUUUUGUCGUUUAGAACUUGAGUUUGUGGUGUUUUUGAACUUGAGGUUUUGGCAAAUGUUAAACUUGAUAUUUGGGUGUUGUUUGAACUUGAGUUUGUGUCAUGUUUGAACUUGAGUUUGUGUCGUGUUUGAACUUGAGUUUGUGUCGUGUUUGAACUUGAGUUUGUGUCGUGUUUGAACUUGAGUUUGUGUCGUGUUUGAACUUGAGUUUGUUGCAAUUUUUGAACUUGAGUUUUGAACUUGAGUCUUUGGUUUUUAGUGAACUUUAUUUGCUGGCAAUUGUUAAACUUGAGUUUGUCGCGUGUUUGAACUUGAGUUUGUGUUGUUUUUUAACUUGAGGUUUUGGCAAUUGUUAAUCUUUAGAUUUGGGUGUUGGUUGAACUUAAAACUUUGACAUUUGUUGAACUUGACUUUGUGGUGUUCAUUUAACUUGAGUUUGUGGUGUUUUUGAACUUGAAUUUUUGUGUUUUUUUGAACUUGAGUUUGUGGUGUUUUCGAAUUUGAGUUUCUGUUGUCUUUGAACUUGAAGUUGUUGCAAUUGUUAAACUUGAGAUUUGGGUGUUGGUUGAACUUCAGAUUCGGCAUUUUUGAACUUGAGUUUUUGGUGUUUUUUGAACUUGAGUUUGUUGCAAUUUUUGAACUUGAGUUUGUUGAACUUGAGUUUUUGGCAAUUGUUAAAUGUGAGUUUAGGUCAUUUGUGGAAUUUGAAAUUUUGGCAUUUUUUUAACUUAAGAUUGUGGUGUUUGUUGAACUUGAGUUUGUGGCAAUUGUUGAACUUGAGUCUGUAUUUUUCCCUGAACUUUAGUUUGAAUUUUUGUGUGUUUUUUGAAUUUAAAUUUGUGGCAAUUGUUAAACUUGAGAUUUGGGUGUUGGUUGAACUUGAGUUGGUGGUGUUUUUGAACUUGAGUUUGUGUGUUUGUUUAACUUGAGUUUGUGGCGUGUUUUGACUUGAGUUUCUGUUGUUUUUGAAGUUGAGGUUGUGGCAAUUGUCAAACUUGAGAUUUGGGAUUUGGUUGAACUUGAGUUUGUGUCGUGUUUGAACUUGAGUUUGUGGUGUUUUUUAACUUGAGUUUUUGCCGGUGUUGAACUUGAGUUUGUGGCGUGUUUUAACCUGAAUUUUUGUUGUUUUUCUAACUUGAGGCUUUGGCAAUUGUUAAACUUUAGAUUUGGGUGUUGGUUGAACUUAAAACUUUGACAUUUGUUGAACUUGUGUAUGUGGUGUUCAUUGAACUUGAGUUUGUGUCUUGUUUGAACUUGACUUUGUGGUGUUUUUGAACUUGAGUUGGUGGUGUUUUUGAACUUGAGUUUGUGGAAAUUGUUGAACUUGAGAAUUGGGUGUUGGCUGAACUUGAGUUUGUGGCGUGUUUGAACUUGAGUUUGUGUUGUUUUUGAACUUGAGGUUGUGGAAAUUGUUAAACUUGCCCUUCUUGAGCCAUCAUGAAGGUGGAGGUGGCAGGGGUAGAGCAGCAAUGAACAGAACCCCCCCGGAACAGGAGCGCUUCAAGGGUAGCGGAGCAAUUAGCUGGCACGAGGGUGGAGCUGGUGUGGCAGUGUGUUGCUGGUUUGCUGUCAGAGCAGAGGAAGAGGCUGGGUUAGUGCAGAUUUAAAUAAGGCACUCUAUAGGCAAAGAACCAAUAGGAGCUAGGUGUGAAUCAGCUGAUUAUCAUCUGGUUGAGGUGGCUACUAGCCAUUGGCUGUGGAUCAGUGCUUGAUGUUCUGUCCUGACAGAACUAACGCUAUGCUUCAUUUCAGUCAGGUACACUUUGUCAAAAUUUUUAGCUUUAUUGUGCAAGUUAGAUUUGGCGGCAUGAUUCUGUUCCGGGUCCCUGCCCUUCCACGCGCUUGUGUGGAAGCCCGAGGCAGGAAGAGCCCCUUCCUGCCCUUCACGAAUCAUCAUGAAAGGCGAUAGCAGGGAGCGCACGCGAGGUUCUGUUCAGGGCCCCCGUUCUCCACGUUGGCAGGGGUGAAAGGCCAGCGGCAGGAAAAGCACCUUCCCGCCCUCCAUGUGCCAUCAUGAAGGCGGAGGAGGCGGGGGUAGAGCAGCAAUGAACAGAACCCCCCCCCAAAACAACCAUGCCGUGCAGUCUAGGAGCUAGCAGGGGAGGUGAGCGCUGCUGAAAGAAAGACGGGUUAGAGAGACCCAUUGCCCAAGCAUGGAUAUUUAUCUGCGGGUUGUUUAUAUAUUUCAUUUAAUUAGCAUCUAUGUGCCAAAGUUAUGGGUACUCAUAGUUUUUGGGCUUCGAGAAUGUCCCGAGCCUCGGGGCGCAGAUAGCGUUUGUACGCAGCUGACGACUAUUGGCCCAUGGCUUUGAGGGUCGGCACAGGAGCCGUCAUAGCUGCGGUUGUAGCUGCACCUAUGUGAAAGGAAUGAGCCAUGUAGCGAUCUGAAGGAUGUGUGGAGGGCGAUCAGCUAAGCUGUCAUCUGACUGAGGGCUAGCUUAAGAUCAGCUGGCUUUAACCUUUAGCUUGACUGUACCUUGUGUCCUGCCUGAACUACAGCCAUGCUUAAUUUCAGUCAGGACUACUUUAGUUAGAAUCAAUUAUUUAUUACUAGCAAAAAAAUUUUUAACAUUGUCGGUAUGGCUCUGUUCUGAGAGUUCCCUGCUCUCUCAUGCGCUUGCAUAGAAUCCCAAGGCAAUGAGAGGGAAUGCCCUCCCCUCCCUUUCAUGUGCAUAUAUGAAAAUCCAAGGCAGAAAAAGCAGCAGCCAUACUGGCAACCCUCCUGUUAGGUCUAAAACCUGCAACAUUUACCUGAUAACAUAUAAAGAAGAGAAAGACAAUGGUAUAUACUCGAGGAGAAUGGACCGAGAUAGCUUCAGGUACUAUAUCGAAACCACUCUAAAGGUAUUUCCGCCCAGUCUCUUUUAUUUAGUCUUGUCCCUGGUUACACAAUGUUUCUAAAAGGGUGGAGAAAAAUAUGUGUAGCAACGUAAGCACUCUCAUAAAGCAUAAUAAUGAACAACUUGUGAAUAUGUGAAGGUCAAGGCGGCAUCUAACGAGCUCCUUCUGAUAACAGCGGCACCUCCUCAAAAACUCCCCACGAUUUACAGCGGAGGAUCCAUCACUCACACACCCCCACCUGCUGAUAGGAAAGACACAGUCACAGAAAACUGAAGGAAACAUUGUUCUGCUGUGUAGUAAAUCUAUUGGAGAGAGAAGUUAGGAAACACUCUUAUAUAAUGUAUAAAAAGAGGUCAAAGCAGUUUACACUUGUAGUAUAAACUCUUACAUAAGAAUAUGAGGAAUAAUGAUAACUUCUAUAUACAUUUAUGCACAUUAUUCUAACAUUUCCCUCCUGUUUAUCAUUACUUUGCUCAAAUUCUAAUAAUCCCUCUAGUUCAGCCACUUCUCUCGAUUUUCAGCUGCGAGUUCAUGUUUAUAACUACAAAGAAUUUACACACGGAGGUACAAGGUGUUGCUUUAAUCAGAAUUAUACUCAUCAUCCGGAUUGGGGCACAGGUCAGGCCAUUGAGUGUCAUCAA